rnacentral:lncRNA from 1 species
UGCACAAUCCUGUAUACCACAUCAUUAAUUAAAUCGAUAUCUCAACUGUCCAAUCAAUUUAAUUACAUCUUGUUCCUUGAUACUUACUGGUUUUCUUUAAUGAUCAUUUUCAACAUACUAAAUAUGUUGACACACUAUGGCCAGAGAAUUCUAUGAUCAAGUGCCGAAAAUCCAUCAAGAGAUGUGUUGUACAAAUUGUAUAUUGUUAAUCCAUAACUCCAAUACUCAUAAUUGCUCCCACCAAGAUACCGGGUAAUCUUGAUCACAAGUAUGUGUCGUGCCCAUUGGUAACUCAAAUGGAAUAACAAUUACAAUCAUGAAAUCAUAAUUAACUCAAGAUUAAGAUUACAGUAAAAUCAAUACCUAUGAGAUUUAAUAAGUCUGACAGUUAUUACAAAGUUAAUUAAAUAUCAUAUGUGAUCAUGUUCGAUGUAGUCGUACUACAUCAAUAAAUGCAUACAUGAUAAAGACAAAUCACUCAAUGAAUUUAUUACAGUCUAUACCUUAAAUAAAGUGUCCAACUUUAUUUAUCAACUGCGAACUAAAUUUAUUUAAUCAUAAGAUAACUUGUAUUUAUGUCUUCUGUGAAUCCACAUGGUGAUCACAUAAAUACAUAUAAUAUAAUUAAAUGGACUUUGAUCAAAAUAUUAAUGCAAUUAAGAUAUUUGAAUAAAAUACCUCAUUAAUUUUAUUAAUAAGAAAAAAUAUUUAUUACAAUUAAAUAAACACAUAUGCUUUUAAAGAGCAUAUUUUCCCAACAAUCUUCCACUAGCUCUCAAAGCAUAUUUCGCAUCUAACGCAUGCCCAUGGAUUCUAAGUGCAAGUUAAAAGGUUUCCCAGGUAUGACCUUAGUAAAAGGAUUUGCCAAGUUUUGUUGUGACGCAAUCUAAGUAACCUCCACAUCACCUCUCUGCACUAUAUCCCUUAUAAGAUUAUAUUUUCUCUCAAUAUGUUUUUGUUUCUUGUGGUUCCUUAGAUUGAGCUACCGCACCACUAUUAUCGCAAAAUAGUUUAAGGGGUGCUGUUACAGCACGUACCACCUCAAGAUCUUGUAGGAACUUACGGAGCUAUACAACUUCUUUUGCAGCUUCGGAUGCAGCCACAUAUUCAGCUUCAGUUGUGGAGUCUCCGAUACAAUAUUGUUUCACACUCCUCCAACUAAUAGCUCUACUUCCCAAUGUAAACACAUAGCCGGAAGUUGAUUUUCUGGAAUCCUUAUCUAACAUAAAGUCAGGAUCAGUAUAACCCACUGGAAUGAAUUCAUCACCAAAAUACACAAGCAUAUAAUUUUUAGUUUUUUUCAGAUACUUCAUUAUAUGAUUGACCGCAAUCCAGUGUUUAGGUCCAGGAUUAGAUUGAUAUCUACUAACCAUCCUUACCGCAAAACAGAUGUCUGGCCUAGUGCAAAGCAUAGCAUACAUGAGACUUCCCACAGCUUCUGCAAAGGGAACUCGUCUCAUUCUUUCUAUCUCUUUAGAUGUUUUAGGUGAUUGAUCCUUAGAGAAUAUAAUUCCAUGUCUGAAUGGUAAUAAACCAGUCUUGAAAUUUUCCAUGCUAAAUCUAGCCAAUAUCUUAUCGAUAUAGACCGCUUGAGACAAGACUAAAGUUUUAUUCUUCCGGUCUCGUAGUAACUUGAUACCAAGAAUAUAACUUGCCUCUCCUAGGUCUUUCAUAUCAAAUUGUUUUGCUAACUAACUCUUUAUUGUAGUCAAUACUCCUAUAUCGUUUCCAAUUAGGAAAAUAUCAUCUACAUAAAGAAUUAGGAAUGCUACAGAUUUUUCUUAAAUUUUCUUGUACACACAUGGUUCAUCAAUGUUCUGAAUGAAUCCAAACGUUUUAAUCGCUUGAUCAAAUCUGAUGCUCCAUGACCGGGAUGCUUGCUUCAAUCUAUAAAUGGAUCUCUACAACUUACAUACCAUAUGUUCUUGGCCUUUUUGUAUAAAUCUAUCUGGUUGCUGCAUGUAGAUGUUUUCUUCAAGAUGCCCGUUAAGAAAGGCAGUCUUGACAUCCAUUUGCCAAAUUUCAUAAUCUAGCACUGCAGUAGUGGGGAGCAGAAUCCUGAUGGAUUUAAGCAUAGCAACCGGAGAAAAGGUUUCCUCAUAAUCGAUUCCCUCUUUCUGAGUAAACCAUUUGGCUACUAAUCUUGCUUUAAAUGUUUCCACCCCUCCAUCUACUCCUCUUUUUCUCUUAUAAAUCCACUUGCACCCUAUAGGGUUUACUCCAUUUGGUGCCUCUACAAGUUCCCAGACUUUAUUGGAAUACAUAGAUUCCAUUUCUUGAUUCAUGGCCUUUUUCCAAAAUUCAACAUCUUUAUCUAUUAGAGCUUCGUUGUAACUAGUGGGAUCUUGUACAUGUUCAUCUGAGAUAGCCGUAUAGGUUUCUCCUAAAAGCAUGUAUCUCGCAGGUAACCUAGUUACCCUCUCACUACAACGAGGUUCUAAAAGUGAUGGUUGUUAAGGGAUAAUCUUGUGUUGAUCAUCUGGUUGUUGUUAUUUUUCAUGUUCUGUAACAGGCGUUGAAAGCUGAGUAUCAACCUGAUCACCUGAUAGUUCUUCAAGUAUUACCUUACUCUUAGGUUUGAAGUUAUUCAUAUAGUCUUCCUCGAGGGAAGUGAAAUGUGUGCUCACGAUCACUUUCCUAUCUUGAGGACUAUAAAAUAAACCUCCCCUUGUUUCUUUAGGAUACCCCACAAACAUACAAACCUCAGAACGUGAAUCCAUUUUGUCUGCUUUUGGUUUCAGCACAUGUGCUGGUAAUCCCCAAAUACGGACAUGUCGUAAACUUGGUUUGCGACCUGACUAUAAUUCUAUUGGGGUUUUAGGCACUGACUUAGAUGGAAUUAAGUUCAAGAGGAAAACUGCAGUUUCCAGUGCUAGUCCCCAAAAAAAGAUUGGUAAUGACGAAUAACUAAGCAUAGAUCUCACCAUAUCCAAAAGAGUUCUAUUUCUUAUUUCAGCUACCCCAUUUUGUUGUGGUGUUCCUGGGGCAGUCAGCUGAGAUAUAAUCUCAUUUUCAACCAGAUACUCUUUGAAAUCUCCUGAGAUAAAUUCACCACCUCAAUCAGAUCAAAGUUUCUUUAUGUUCUUAUCUAAUUGCUUUUCUGUCUUAACUCUAUACUCUUUGAAUUUCUCAAGAGCUUCAAACUUUUGAUGCAUCAGAUAAACAUAAUUGUAUCUCGAGUAAUCAUCAGUGAAAGUGAUGAAAUACUCAUAACCUCCUCGAGCUUGUACAUUGAUUGGUUCACACACAUUUGUAUGUACCAAUUCAAGUGGUACUGUUGCACGUACUCCUUUGGCCGAUAAUGGCCUUUUGGUCAUUUUUCCUUCUAAACAAGAUUCAUAGAGUGGCAAUGAUUCAUUUUCUAAUUGACCCAAAAGUUCAUCUUUGAUCAUUCUCUGUAUCCUAUUUUGGUUUAUAUGACCCAAGCGUAAAUGCUAGAGGUAACAUUGGUUGGAAGAAAUAUUUCUUUUCUUAAAUAAAUGUGUAUGCUCAUCAUUAUUUAUCAUUGUGUCGUGCAUAGAAUGGAUCAUUGGACUUAAAUGAUAUAAAUUAUCUUCCAAUGUACCAGAACAAAUAAGGUUCUUAUUAUAAAAAAUAGAAACAGAAGAUCCAAAAUUUACAGUGUACCCUUACUUUGACAACAAGCUACUGAAAUUAAAUUCCUCUUUAUGUCUGGAACAUAAAGACAAUUAUUCAAAAUUAAAGUCUCAUUAUUAAAAGAUAAUAAAACAGAUCUAGUCUUCACUGCUGACAUGAAUUGUCUUGUCCCUAACUGCAGCUUGACGCUUCCUUCACUUAUUUUCCUGGUUUUCUGAAACCAAUAAAGUGAAUUACAAAUAUGAUUAGUUGCUCCUGAAUCCAACACCCAAGUGUCAAUAGGAUUCUAAACUAAACAGACCUCAAUUAUAAAAAGAUUUCUCAUACCUGAUUUCACAAUCUUAGGGCAAUCAUUUUUCCAGUGACCUUUCUGUCCACACUUAAAGCAUUUGCCUUUCGGCUUGCCAUCUUGCUUGGUAGACGGUUUCUUUUUCUCAGCUUUCUUCUUACCUUUGCCUUUCGGCUUAGGCCCAGAAGAUGAACUUUUUUUAAUAAUAUUUAUGCUUCCCAGAGAUUUCUCAGCACGAUAAAUCUCUUCAGCAGAAUUGAGUUCGUUCAUCAAUUCAGUCAAGGUCAUGUUCCUUUUGUUCAUGUUAUAAUUGACCUUAAACUCCUUGAAUGUUUCUGGCAGAGAUUCUAGCACCAUGUCAAUCUUUGAGUUAUCAUCGAUUUGUGCUCCUUGAAUCUCAGCCUCAUUCAAAUAGUCCAUUAUUUUGAAGACAUGAUCAUGAACUCUUGUGUCCUUCCCCAUUUUACUGUUCAUAAUUCCUUUCAGCGCUGCUUGUCUCGCGGAGCGAGUACUCUGCCCGAACAUCUGUUGGAGACUAUCCAUUAUUUCAAUGGCAAUCUCCAAGUUCUGAUGUUUGGUCUGCAGAAUAUUAGAAAUCGAGGCUAAAAUGUAGCAUUUUGCCAUUUUAUUGGCCUUUUGCCAUUUCUCAUAAAGUCUCAUCUGAUUUCUAUGAGCAUUAUCCGCUGGAACUGGAGGGCAUGGUGUUGAGUGUUAGAAAAUGUAUAUUUAUAAAGGAGAAAAUCAUCAUUUUACAUUUCAAGUUUUACUAACAACCCUUACUUUUAUGUAUUUAAGCUUCUUGCAAUUUAACUAUGUGUGUUUGAUUUUAAUUAAGUAUUUUAUAUAUUUUAGGGGCAUCAUGGUCAUUUCACAAUAAACAAGAGAUCAGACAGUAAAACGGACAUCACUUUUGAACUCAGGACGGUCGAAAACCUUAGGAGGAGCAUAAAAAGAAAAAUGGCACUAUUCACGUGUACGGUACUAUUUACGUGUAUGGUACUAUCUACGUUACUGUUUAUGACACUGUUCACAUAGACGGAUUGAUGACGUGGCAUUGACUGAUGAGGUGUCACGAUCCUGUUGGGCUAAAAUUUUUAUGUACUGUUGAUGGUGACGUGGCAGCAUAUCAGUGGACGAAAAAUCUCGCGUACGGUACAUGCAUCACACAGGAUUAUUUUCAACCAAACCGCGUCACUGUUCACCCGGGUCAAACCGUGUUACUGUUCAUCCACGUGGUCAAACCGCGUACUGUUGACUGAUGACGUGGCGCAAUCCUGAGCGUCCAAACUGUUUUUAAUCCGAUGGCCAUGAUUUACUCCAUGUAUCUAUAAAAAGAGGGCUUCCCCCCCUAAUUUGAUACCUCUGAAUCCAUUUUUGGGAUCCAUUUUCUGUAAUUCCUUCUCCAUCUUGUAUUUUCUACGUAUUUUAAUAAAUUCUCAUUUUGCCAAUAGUUCAAUUAUGAGUAUCUAAUUUUCUUUCAAGCUUGGGUUGAAGGUGAAGUCUCAACAUGUGUCAUGGGCUUUAUUUGGUAAAUUUAUUUUCUUUUCCCCUCUAAUUUUUGUGGAUGAUUUGACUUUUCGUCGACAAAUAAUAAUAAUCUUGUCUAGAUAUCGCCUUGGUUACACCAGCUCUCUAGUAAAAUGUUAUUAUUAUUUGGCACGAUAAGCCCUUAGCACCAUAUUGAUUAUAGUGUGGUUCAUGAGGUGUGGAUUCCCCCCUCAUGAUUUAAUUGGUAUUAAUAAGGAAUAUUUAGCUCAUGGUGCAUGUUGAUACGAAUCCAGAUACCCAAGUACGUCAUUUCAAUAGAAUUCUCUUUAAUUUAUUCUCGCCAUUUCAAUUCCAAUUUUAGAAUUUAUUCUCGCCAUUUUAAUUUAAGUUUUAGCAUAUUUCAAAUCAUUUCCACCACAAAUCCAAUCACCCAUUUACAAAAUUAAUUCUACACACAAUUAAAAUCCACCUCCUCGUGGGAUCGACACUCGUCACCAUUGAUCUAUACUACAAUAGAUUCGUGCGCUUGCGAGUACAUUAAAAUUUGCACAACAAGUUUUUGGCGCCGUUGCCGGGGAGGUAAGUUAUUUUAAUUCAUGGAAUUAAUUUUUGUGAAUAAUUUCUUUUAAUUGCUUUCUUGUAAUUUUUUUAAAAAAAAUAAUAAUAAAAAAGUGUGAAUUUACAUUUUGAGCUAAGAAUUUUUCUCUGCUUUAAAAUUCUGUAAUUUAAUUUUCAAUUUAUUUUUCCUUGUAAUUUUUUUAUCUUAUUAAUUUAUUCUUAGUUAAUUUACUUCAUGUAUUUGUUUUAGUGUGUUUUUAUAGAAAAGUUGUAACAGCGUAAUAAGGUUAGUAUCGUAAUUUCUCCUUCCUCUUUAUUUUUAUUUGUUUUGUUCCCAUUUAUUUUUUGUUCCUUGCAUGCAUGGUCGUAGGUCAUUAUUACCUAAUCUUGAACCUAUAGAUCUUGAACUUGAGAAAACACUUCGCACACACAAGCACAUUAAAAAUAAAUUUGGAAUGGAUUUACAAGCACCACAGGAGAGGCCAUUUAAGGACUACUUCAGUCCUUUAGCUAAUUUGAGCACAUCAUGCAUAAGAUACCCAAAUGUAGCUGCUAGGAGUUUUGAACUAAAACCUAGUGUGCUAAAUUGUCUCCCAACAUUCUAUGGCCUAGAAAAUGAGGACCCAUAUAAUCAUCUGAAUGAUUUUCAUGCCAUUUGUCAAACUUUUAAAUAUGAAAAUUUUUCAGACGAUGAUGUUAAACUCAGAUUAUUCCCAUUUUCUUUAAAGGAUAGAGCUCGUUCAUAGCUUAAUACAUUGCCUGCUAAUAGCAUUGCAUCAUGGGAACAAAUGGUAACGAAAUUUUUGAAUAAAUAUUUCCCAGUGCAUAAAACCAAUGCUAUUCGUAGGGAAAUUUCAGAGUUUACCCAGAGAGAUGACGAGCAGUUUUUCGAAACAUGGGAGCGAUUCAAUGGGCUACUCUUGAAGUGUCCACAUCAUGGGUACGAGAAAUGGCACCAAUGCCAAUACUUUUUGGAGAGAUUAUUGCCGAAUGUGCAAGAAUGGCUAAUGGCAACAAGUGGAGGAGAGCUAAUGUCAAAAAGUGCAUCAGAGAUUUGGGAAUUCUUCCAGCGACAAGCGGAUAAUUCCCAACAACGGAGUCGAUCACUCAGGAAUGCUAGAAGAAUUAAGGGAGUAAAUGAGGUUCAAAUUGGCGAGUCAACUUCAGAAAUCAAAGAAGUCAAGGAGAUGGUUGAAGGUCUCGCUCGACAAAUAGCAUCGUUAUCGACUGCUAAAUCAACAAAACCACAUGACCAUGACUCAUACUCCGAUCAAGCCAAUGCCAUAGGUGUAAUGAGAAAACCAUCGAAUUACAACUCAUACUCCAACACAUAUAACUCUGGAUGGAGAGAUCACCCCAAUUUUUCAUGGUCUCAAGGAUUCCAACAGAAUGGACCAGUAGCUCCAACUCCACCAAUGCAACCAAUUCCUCAAAAUCCUCAAGCCUCUCAGCCCCCAUUUAGACCAUACAAUCAUAACCAGAAUUACUCUCAACCCAGACCAUGGGAGGAUUCAUUCCAGAAUCUCAAGAAUUUUACUCACUCCACGAUUGAGCAACAGAACCGCACCAUUGAUGGACUACGAAAUGAGUUGAGAGCAGGCUUCAACUCACAAGCUCAAUCAGUUUCAAGCCUGGAGAAAAUGGUGGGACAACUCGCUUCUUCAGUUCAGACCUUGGCAAUGACUGUUGAGAAAGGCAAGUUUCCAAGUCAACCAGUGCCUAAUCCUAAAGGAGUGCAUGAAGCAAGUACCAGUUCACCACAACAGCAUGGAGAAGCCAAAGCCAUCAUGACCUUGCGAAAAGGAAAAGAAGUCGACAACAAAGUGGACAUGCCGGUGACAAAAGAAAAUCAAAUUGUACCUAUAAAUGCUGAGGACUCACCACCGGAGGAGAGAGAAGAAACCAACCCACGAUAAUAUGUUCCGAAAGCUCCAUUUCCUCAAAGGUUAGCUAAAGGAAAAAAUGAAAAAUCCACAGGUAAGAUUCUUGAAAUCUUCAAACAGGUAAGUGUUAACAUCCAUUUACUUGAUGCUAUUAAACAAGUUCCAUCUUAUGCCAAGUUUCUUAAAGACCUUUGUACUAAAAAGAUAAAUAUGCAUGUUCAAAAGAAUGCAUUUUUAACAGAAAACGUUAGUUCUAUACUCCAACAUAAAAUUCUUUUAAAAUGCAAAGACUCAGGCUCCCCCACUAUCUCAUGUAGUAUAGGGAACCACACAAUUGAGAAUGCUUCGUUGGAUUUAGGAGCUAGGAGAAUGAAUAUAUUUCUUUUCCAAUCUAUAUAGUUCUCUCCAGUGAGUUUAUUUUGACUCAGAAUAAUAGUAAGUGGGCUCAGGGAAGACAUUUUCUGAAAAAUAAAAUAUCCAUGCAUAAAUAAUUUGAAAUAAUAUUCACAAUAAAUGACAAAAAUGCACAAAACCAUAAAUGCAUUUUAAUUUAUUGUAAUAAUAAUCUAGUUCCGCUUUGACAAGCUAUCCGUUGGGGAAGUCAUGUCUAUACUUACUAGACUCAAUUAGUCAUUGGAUUAUUUACUUUCAUGUAAAGACAUGAUAAAUAAUUAUUGUUAUCGUUUUUGGGCCUAAAUUUGUUAAUAGAGCUUCGUUGGGAAUGUUAAUAACAAAUUUUAGUUGAGUGUAUAACCAUUGUUUCAAUCUACGUAUUUUUCAUAUCAAUAGUCACCGUUAGGGUGAACAAUCGAUUGAAAAAUAUUUCAAUUUUAUCUUUGAAGAAGUUCAUCAAAUAAAAUAUCUAAUAUAUAUACCCUCUGAAUGGAGCAUCACUGUAUCAUGAAGUCGAGGUAUAUAUAUAAUUUUAUUUUUGAACUAACAAUGGAGCCCGUGGGAAAAUUAUCUUGAAUUUUCUCUCUCCCACUAUAUAUUUUAAAAUUGGUUUUUCCUUUUAAAAUAUACAUAUUGUUAAUUGCAUGCUUCCUAUAAUAUUAUCUAGAUGAUAUCCAAUAUUAUUAAGCAUAUGCAAAUUUCAAACAAUAUAACGAGAUUCAUAAUUAAUGAAUAACAUGUAUCAUUAUGCAUAGAGUGGCACUACCUAUUCUAUAUGACAUGUUAUUAUGGCAUGUUAUCAUACAAAACAUAACAUAUAGAAAAAUAAUUAAAUAAUCUUAAUUCAUGGCUUUCCUAAAAUGAAAAAAUACAUUAACCCUAAGCCUAAUCUCCAUUGCGCUUCUUGUCAAUGUCCAUCUUUCAUAAGCUUGUCUUUGUUAAUGGACUAGGGGAAAUUGGGCUUUUAAAUUUAUAAUUGGUCCAAUUUUAAUUUUGAAAGGAAAUAAAUAAAUAAUUAAAAAAUUUAUUAAAAUAAAAUUUUUGGACCAAAAAUAAAUUUAAUGUAUUCAAUUUUAUCUAUGCAUUUUAAUCCAUUAAGCCCUAUUGAAAUUGGGCCUAAAGCUAGGAUUCAUUACGCCCAAAACUCUUUUUGGACUUAAAUGCAAAAAAUUUAAACGUGUCUGCCCAAAAGAAAAAACUAUGGAGCCAUAGGGACCUCAAUGAUAGAAACCAAUGAAACCCUAAAUCCAUCUUUUUCUUUUUCCUUUCUUCCCCAGCCGCCACCAGCACAAAGCCCACUACUGUUCAGAGACGCCAGCCAUCGCUGACGCAUCUCCGACACCGAGUCGCCGUCGCCACGUCACCGGAAACCCAAAAACUCGCGUGCGCAACUUGCUGUUCGUGCAGCGCGCGCUGCUGGCCACGCUAGCCGCGUGUGCUGCUUGCUACGGGAGCAGCGUGUGCCAGCGGGCUGCUUGCUGUUCGCACAACGCACGCUAGCUGCUGCUGCAUGCGCAGCGUGCACUCCUAGCAGCUUGCAUGCUUACGUUGCUGGUUGGUGGCUGCCGCUUGAAAAUUCAACAAGUUUCCGCAAUUUUCCAGUGAUCAAUUUACAAAUUUCCUAGGCCAAUUUUGGCUUACAAAAUUUUUAUAGCAGUAAACUAAAUCAAGAGAGAAACAUAGUGAUAAUAAACCACCCCUCUUGUUACAGAUCUAAAGAAAAAAUACAGCAGAGAAUCUAACCAUGAAUUAAGACCAAUCAUAACAUGCUUUAUUCAUAUAUUAAACAAAUAAUAUAUAUCUGAAUAAAUUGUGCCACUCUAAUACAUAAAUUUCAAGAUUAAUUUCAUACGAAAUUCUUAUAUAUUAAUAUGAGAUGGCUCUGAUACCAAUUGUUGGAGAAAAAUCAGGUUUUUUAAAUUUUUAUAAAACCUUUUAAGAUCGCUCUCAUACAAUAUAUAAGAAUUUGUAAUCUAAAAGUCGUACCUUGAAAAUCCGAUUUAACUUUUUCCGCUGAAGUGAUUUAGGCUCCCAGAUCACGAUUUGUCACCGCUACUCUUGUUAGAUCACGAUCCGUCACCACCACGCUUAUUAGAUCACGAACUGUCACCAAUGAUCUUCCAAGUUAUGACUCAGGUUUGAUAUGCACUUGACGUGUGGGCGCCUUUAUCACCACCAAAGCAACUAGCACGAGAAAAUUUUUCUCUCAACAAUAGAGAGAAAAAUCUUUUUUUCUAAUCUGUAUAAAGUGACUGUUUUCUUUUUCUUUAGAGAAAAUAAGCCUUUUUAUAUCUCCCUUUAGUGAAAAACCUAGGUUCCAAAUAAUGAAAAAACAAAACUCACGUUACUUGCUUUUUCUAUAGGGGACCCACCUUGUAAAAUAACAUAAGGCCUCUUACACACAAGCUAAUUAAAUAGAGCCUCCCACUAAAUGAUAUAUUUAGGCUUUUGACCCAAAUAGCUAGUUAUUUUGCUUAUUAAUCUAGUAGUGGUGCAAUCAAUUAAAUGAGCUAACCCAGGGAUCAUUUGGGAACAUACAAUAGCGGAUAUAACAAUUAGGCAUGUAAUUAAAAUAGCCUAAUUAUUUAAUUUUAAAUCUACUCCACUAAAAGAUUGGAAUUGACCUCCAUAAUUGUAUGCUCGAAUAAUAAUUCGUCCCAAGCCAAAUUUGAUUUCUUUACUGCAUAAUCCUUUGUACCACAUUAUUAAUUAAAUUGAUAUCUCAACUGUCCAAUCAAUUUAAUUACAUCUUAUUCCUUGAUACUUAUUGGUUUUUUCUAAUGAUCAUUUUCAACAUACUAAAUAUGUUGACACACUCUGGCCAGAGAAUUCUAUGAUCAAGUGCCGAAAACACAUCAAGAGAUGUGUUGUACAAAUUCUAUAUAGUUAAUCCAUAACUUCAAUACUCAUAAUUGCUCCCACCAAGAUACCGGGUAAUCUUGAUCACAAGUAUGUGUCGUGCCCAUUGGUAACUCAAAUGAAAUAACAAUUACAAUCAUGAAAUCAUAAUUAACUCAAGAUUAAGAUUACAGUAAAAUCAAUACCUAUGAGAUUUAAUAAGUCUGACAGUUAUUAUAAAGUUAAUUAAAUAUCAUAUGUGAUCAUGUUCGAUGUAGUCGUACUACAUCAAUAAAUGCAUACAUGAUAAAGACAAAUCACUCAAUGAAUUUAUUACAGUCUAUACCUUAAAUAAAGUGUCCAACUUUAUUUAUCAACUGCGAACUAAAUUUAUUUAAUCAUAAAAUAACUUGUAUUUAUGUCUUCUGUAAAUCCACAUGGUGAUCACAUAAAUACAUAUAAUAUGAUUAAAUGGACUUUGAUGAAAAUAUUAAUGCAAUUAAGAUAUUUGAAUAAAAUACCUCAUUAAUUUUAUUAAUCAGAAAAAAUGUUUAUUACAAUUAAAUAAACACAUAUACUUUUAAAUAGCAUAUUUUCCCAACACUUCCAACCUACGGCAACUAAUAUUUACUAAACAUUGUAAUUUUUAUACUCCAACUAUCCAAUAUCAAUAACAAACGAGACAUUAACCAUAUAUUUACUAAUAUAAGUUUUCCGAUUCACCAAGUACAUUUUAUUUUCACUAUACUUCUAUCUUCCAAAUGUUUGGUAUGAAGUUUAGACAACCUCAAACUAAUUUAUAUUAUAAUCAAUUAUUACAGAUGUUUGAGUAUUGUGGAGGCACAUUUUUUUUUAAAAUAAUUGUCUCAAGACAGUUUAUUCAUAUAAUCGAAAUUAAGGAUACAAAAAUAUUCUUAUAUAAAUUAUUGUGACACAAUUGUAUAAAAAUGCAACUCCCUAAUCUUGUAAUUUAAAAUGUUUGAAAUUAUGAGAUUUUGUAAUUGUAUGUUUAAAAAUUAUGAGAUUUUUAUUGGAUUUUUUUCCCUUUUAAAAUUAUUAAAAUCACUUAAGUAAUUUAAUGUUUCUAUUUGAAUUUUUAUUUUUAUUUUUAUUUUAUAAUUUUUUUGUGAGUUUUGUGUAUGCGGUAAAAUCCUUUGUCUUUAUUCGAACAUUGAGAACAAGUACUUAAAACUCUUUCUAGUUUUCAUAUUUCGGAGAGGGGACUGGAUGUUGAUAAACUAAAUAAGUUAUUUUUCUCAUUAAAAAUUUUGUAUUUUAAAAUUAUUCUGAAAAGCUUUAAUAUUUUCGAUUAUAAGUUUAAAGAAAUUUUCACCUUUUUUUUCAAGUGAGAUUAGUUGAUAUUGCAGGACUUUAAUUAGUUAAAUUAGCUGUCAUAUUUAAAAAAUAAUAAUGUUUAGUUUUUGAAUGAACACAUUUUGCUUUCAAACUUUGUAAAAUUAAAUAAUUUCUAAAAUCAAGCAUACCACCUAUUAAAAAAAAAGGGAAAAAUACCAAAAAGCCCAAUGAAGCCGACAAAGUUUUGGAUUACGUGCAAGCUUAGGACAAAGCCUAAUAAGGCCCAAAUUCUAAGUCUUCCAAAUCGUAACAAGCUUCUUUGUCAACUCAAUUUUUAAAAAAUAAAUUUCGAAAUUUGCUAACAAUUAUUUGGUCAGAUUUUAAAGUGUUUGAAAUUAUGAGAUGUUGUAAUUAUAUAUUUAAAAGUUAAUCAUCAAUUGGUAACACUUAUUAAUUCUAAUUGAUUGACACGAACGAAUAGCUUAGUGUGGCUGGUCUCAUAUAAGACUUUCUCAAAAUAUAAUUGUUGUGGACUGCAUGUUUCUUGUUUCGAAAUCGGAGGCCAUUACUAAUUUACCCAAGUGGGGCUUUCCCCAGUGUUUUAAGCAAACGCCUAACACACAUGAUUUUGUAUUAUUAAAAAGAUAGAGAUUUGAGAUGAUGAAAUUGGAUGAUUUGGUUCAUCUAAUUCAUAAUAUGACAACAUGAGAUUUCACUUACCAAACAUAUUUGCUAAUCAAAUAUAAGAAAUUGCAAAACAAGUCGUGUUUUAUUAUAUUCGUUAAAAGCCUUUCAAUCAUACAUCUGUUGGCCAAUUAAAUUACGCAAUUAACACCCUUUUCUUCAUCUUGUUCAAAAUCCGAUUCACUGCUUUUACUUCAAAUAAAACAAUAAAUGAAUCGCAAGUUUCUUUCUUAAACAAAUAAUUUUUUAUUUUUUAUUUUUAUCUCGAGAGAGAGAGAGAGACCUUCCCCCUGGCCAAUAAGUCCGUUUCCUCAAUUUGAGGAUGAUUUAUGAGUUUUCUUUAUUUUCGACUCAAAAUUCAAUACGUUUGAAGAAAAAAGAAAUGUAAGUUUGGACAAAUUCAUUGGAAAAAAAUUUAGUCAAUUGUGUUAUAAAUUGUAUCUCUCCGACCGUUAUUUUCGUUGAUUUUAUUUGUUAAGUCAGUCUACAACACAAACCCUAAAAUGUUUCAAUCUCACCAAUUAUUUUUUCUAUAAAUUUUUUUUAUUACUUUUAUAUAGCAGUAUUUUUGUUAUACUUUCAAAUUUUUUUUUUUUUUUUUUUGUCAGCGCACUUUACAAAAUUCAAGAGCAUUUAACGUAGUUUAUGAACACCCAGGUUCUAAAUGGUUAAUAGAACAAGGAUUGACGUUAAUUUAGUAAGUGAAAAUUUUCAUCUAUAUCCAAAUCUAAAAAAUAAUAAUAUAAAAUUAAAUAAAACACCUGUAACUUUAAGACAUACAUAUCCUGAAUGCAGAACUGGAGCCGAGAGGCUGGGAGUCAUAAUGACAAGAAGAAUUACAACAAAAUUGGGGACCAUAAUGGAAACUGGUAGAACCUACAAGGGCUAAUCUUAUCUUUCUUUCAAUUGAUUUUUGUGGAGCCAGAAACAAUUAGACCGAACAGCAAAUAGCCAUAAAUGAAAGCACAAUUAAAUUCGAACUCUCCGCAGACCCACGAUUUAAUAUCUUUAGAAUGUAACGAUUCAACCCAAAAAAAAAAAAAAAAUUCUAGUAAAAUAUUUCUUAAAAAAAUGAAAAAAAAAAAAGGAAAAAAAAAUGCUUCUUUCAUGGUUGCUUCACGUCACAACGUUGAAAACAAGAACAAAAUUGUGGUCCACGUGUCAUCUCAAAGUAGGUUGCUGACAUGAACAUCCGGCUCCAUCCCGGACAGAUGUUAUGUGAGUGGUUGGUACGCGUUUCCACUUUUUUGUUUUAGAUGCAACGACUCAUGCACUGAAAAAAAAAAUAUUUACGUUAAGUUUUAAAAAUUAGAGAAAUUAUCAUUUGUAUACUUUUAGUUUAUUUCAUUAUUAAAAAAUACUAUAAUACUUUAAGGAUGUAUCAAUUAUUUAUUCUAAGUUGAUAAAAUAUAUCAGCUGACCACCAAACCGUUAGUUGCCGUUUAAGUAUGAUGACGUCAAAAGGGUAAUUUGAUAUUUUCAUAUUAUACAAGUAAUAAUUUAAGGGUAUACAAGUGAUAAAAAGAGAAUUUAAGGGUAUACAAGUGAUAAUUUUCAAGGAUAAAAUCAUAAAUUUACUGUAACUCCGUUAAUUUUAAAACCGCAACUAACGGUUUGGUGGUCGGCUGAUAUAUUUUGUCAACUAAAGGUAGACGAUUGAUACAUCCUCAAAAUAUUGUAAUAUUUUUUAUAACAGAGCAAAUAUAGAGUAUAUGAAUGAUAAUUUUUCUAAAAAUUAAUACCGAUUUAAAUAUGAAUCUAAUUUUAAACUCAUAUUCAAGCACCGAUUGUACUCGGCAAAAAAAAAAAAUAAUAAUAAUAAUAAUAAUAAUAAAGAAGCAGAGGCCGGGCAGGCGGUUGCAGGGCUGCUGCUAUCUUAAAGUUUAGAAGAAGGUUCUUUUCUUUCUUUAGAGUUGAUGCCGUGAGACGUUUUUUUAUAUUAUUAUGAUAACCGUGGUUGCGGAUUCAAUUGAAAUAAUUCUUCUUCGACGCGUAGCGACCGCCCUCGCUAAACUCUCCUUCCAAGAAAUUAACAACAACCACUCCGCCAUUUUUCUUCUAUAAAUACAUAUACUUCACACACAUUUACAUAUUUACACCCACUCUCGUCAUCAUCAUCAUCAAUUAACAUAUCUCCAACUUCAGCUUCUUCUCCCACCAAACUUGUCAUUUUUCUUCCUUUGCCUUUCCCAGUCUUUUCUCUCUUCUAUCAAUUGCAAGCAUGAGCUCCUACAAUCAGAAUCAGUCCUCAGGUAACUAAAUCGUCUAUACAUCCUACUUCUCCUCCUGUUGUUACGUUCCCACGUUUUUAAAUUGUGAAUUUUGAAUCUACACGUUUUAUCUUAACUGGGUAAUUGUGUGUAUAUGUAGCAGCAUACCCCCCACCACCACCGUCUACAACGGCGGGUCCGUACGUGGCGGCGCCACCACCGGCAGGUUAUCCAACGAAAGACGGCGAUCAUGGUUACGCUAAAAAUGCCCCCGUAGAAACCAAGUCCAGAGGUGAUGGCUUCUGGAAAGGAUGGUAUGCAAUCUUUAUGUUUCACCUCACCUUAUGUUAAAAUUAUUCGUAUAUAUAUAUAUAAUAUAUACACAUGUAUCAUACGUGUAGUGACUGAUUUGGUCGGUUUAAUUUGCAGUUGUGCUGGCUUGUGUUGCUGCUGUGCCUUGGACGCCUGCUUCUGAACACACACACACGCACGGUUGAUCGUUUGAUUUUGGGGAUUCUUUUUUAUUUCCAUUAUUAUAUUACAUGUAUAAAUAAUAAUAUUGAAAACAGUUCAGAUUGUUCCUUAGUUUGAUGAUAGGAACGCCACCGUGGCUUGAGUUAUUAUUUUUGUAUACCAUUCUGUAGACUUUUGAUACACGCACUCUUGUUCUUGUACUUUUGAAUUUUAUUUGUUAUGUAUAUUUAAUUCUCUACAGUGGCUGAUUAAUUAAUAUAUCUUUAAAUCAAUGCUUGAUCGUAGAUACAUUUUCAAUACAAAAUAAGAACGAGUUGGUUUGGGGCCAACACAAACACAUACAUACAUGCAUGCAAUCACAUGGAAAGCACGUUCGUAACAAGAAUGAAUGAUAAUAUCAUGAUUUUAACAUAUUUUUCAAAAAAAAUUAUUUCCGGAUUUAUCUUAUGAAUGAUCAAAAGUCUUAUCACAAUCUUUUAAAUCAGCAUUAUAAACCGUCAACUUAGAAAAGAAGGAGCAACCAACAUAAUUUUUGUAACAACGUUGUUUUAGUAAAAUUUAAUUUCAUUACGAAAAGUUCACUUUCGUCUGGUCCAACUAUAACAAAGAUAGAAAUACAAGCUUAGCUCAUUCUUUAGCAUCGAUGAUGCCGUGUGGUUUCGAGUCAGAGGAAUGAUUUUUCAAUUUGAGUGCUAACUGCUUCGAGAGAAAAUAACUCGUUCUCAGCUGGUGUGAAGACUAAAGAGAUGCCCGAUUUGGUGUACUUUCCAACCUUUUGAAACCGAGCACAAAAUUCCAAAAUUCAAACAUUUGGAAGAUAGAAGUAUACUUUCCAACCUUUUGAUACAAAACUGUGAAAGCUGACCUUUACGAAAGAGGGGAAAUGACAUCUGCAUCCAUCAAGCGAAAAUAGUUUAUUUGAUGCGAUUUAUAAGAUAUUUUAUUUUUAUUUUAUUAUUUCUACUGUACCAAUGAAAUAAUUAGGUAGACAUCACAACACUUCAAUCAUAAAAAUUUUUAGAAGUCUGGUAUCAAAUAAUCAGUUAGGCUACAUUUUAAUUUGUCAAAAGUCUUCUAUAAGUCAUGUUUGAUAUUGAGAUAUUGUAACUUUUAAGAUACAUCUCUUGUUGGGAAAAAAUUUUGUAACUAUAAAAUAAAAGUUAAUAGUAUGUAGUAAAUACAAUUAUUAAAUAAUAAUUUUGACAAAAUUAAUAAAGAUGUUAAUAGAUUUUUUAUCAUAUAAGUGUAAAAUCAAAUUAAUUCAACUUCCAACCUCCAUCAGCUAAUAUUUACUAAAUAAUUUAGUGUUAUACAUUUUAUGCUACAACUGUCCAACAUCAAUUACAAACGGGACAUUAAUCAUUUGUUUACUAAUAUUGAAUUUUUUGAUUCACCAAGUACAUUUUAUUUUCACUAUACUUCUAUCUUCCAAAUGUUUGGUAUGAAGUUUUAGACAACCUCAAACCAAUUUAUAUUAUAAUCGAUUAUUGCACAAUGAAAACAACACUUUAAUUAUAAAAUUUACCAAAAACAUCCAUUACACUUUUCAAGACAUACAAUGCUCUCAACACCUUCCAAACUUGCUAAAGUACAAAAAUUAUGAGCAAUUUCUUAUUUUGUUUGUGGUUUUAGUGGGCAGAGUGUUGUAUUAUUUUGCAAGUUUUUUUCUUCUUUUUUCGGAUGGAGAAUUAUGCUGUGGUUUAAUUCAUUAUAUUUGGGCUGAGCCCAUUUUCCAACCGUUUUUCAAAAACCCACAAGAGAAAACAAAAACAAGCCCAAUACCCAAAUUCGCCGAGGGUUUCUAGGGUUUCACAGAAAGCCAGCUGAUAUAUAUAUAAAUCCUCAUUUGUAAAUCGAUCUAGCCUCUGCACAAACACACAAUAACCCAGAGAGAGCCGCGGGUGCGCGAGGAGCGAGAGUUGAAAUGGUGAAGUUUCUGAAACCAAACAAGGCCGUGAUCCUUCUUCAGGGCCGUUACGCCGGCCGGAAGGCGGUGAUCGUGAAGUCGUUCGACGACGGGACCCGCGAGAGGGCGUACGGGCACUGUUUGGUAGCGGGGAUAAAGAAGUACCCGGGCAAGGUCAUCCGCAAGGACUCGGCGAAGAAGACAGCGAAGAAGUCGCGCGUCAAGGCCUUCGUCAAGUUGGUCAACUACCAGCACCUGAUGCCCACGCGCUACACUCUCGACGUCGAUUUGAAGGACGUCGUGUCGGCCGAUUCCCUCCAGAGCAAGGACAAGAAGGUGACCGCUUGCAAGGAGACCAAGAAGCGCCUCGAGGAGAGGUUUAAGACUGGCAAGAAUCGUUGGUUCUUUACUAAGCUCAGGUUUUAGAUUUUUAACCAAAGGAAGAAAGCAACUUGUCGUUUUGUUUUGUUUUGUGUUAUUGAAAACGCUUUAGUUGUUAAAGUGCGAAUUUUGAGAUUUAUGUAGUGUUUUGUGAACUUAAUUUUUUCUGGAUCUGGUACUAUUUUUAUGUGAUAUUAUUGGGUUUAUAAUGUUUACUCAAGACGUCAUAAAUUAAUGCUGCUUGCUGUUAGGACUUGUUUAAUUGGGUGUUGUUUUGUUUAUGUUAUCUUCCAUUAUAGUCUUUUCAAGCUGAUUUGGUAACGUUCUGGAUAUAUUCAUCCUGAUUGUGGAAAUGUGGGUUGUGUAAAUGAUAUUUGAUGUUGGUUUCUGGGUUUGAUUGUGUUGAUGUCAUUGCGUAAUAGGUUAUUUCAUAAUUGAUUUCCUAUAGGCUGAUUGUAGGAAGAAUUGGGUUGUGAGUGCUCAUUGGGUUGAUUACUUGGCCUAAGUAAGGCUGAUGAAUCUUACGCAUCGAGUAGUUCAAUUGCUGAGCAACAUCAUGGGUAUUUAAUACUUUGCAACUGUUUUUUGUUUCUGAGGUUUAUGUUCUCUGCUUGGUUUGCAUUUUUAUUCUACACAAGCCAAGCUUGUCUAUAACAAAGUCAACUACUUGUGCAGUUUCUAAGGAUUUGAGAUGAAUGCUGAGUUCUAGGAACUGAGCUGUGUUUGCUUGAUGCUCAGUCCACAUGCUAUCGAGUUUAAGAUCCCGUUUGGUAUUAAGGCAUUGAAGUUACAAAUGAAAAUUGAUAAUUUGUGAUAAGUAUUGCUUUAAAAUAAUAAUUUGAUGAUAAUAGUAAUGACAACAUCAUAGGUAUGUUAUAGCACAAUUUUGGGAUAAAAUUAGCUUAUCAUCUAAACUGUAGCAGCAUGUGUUUACCAAAUACUUGGUGCUGGAGCUUUUUACGGCUGUCCAAAACCUAUAAGCAUGUGCAUGUAUGUGCAAGAAUCACAUGUUUACCUAACAGGGCCUGAGUUUGCUCCCCUAUGAGUUUAAGAUGGUUACUGCAGCUCUGCUGAUUUGAGAAUUGCUUUAUUAUUAUCUUCGGAGCAUGUAUAUUUUGUUUUGCUUAUGCCAUGCCAAGUACAAAUCGUUGUACUAAGGAGAGGAAACAAUUGUAUGCUUGUUUAUCGUUCCUAUAUAUUUAUGGCAGCAGUUUUGAUUAUUUCAAAUGGCUUGUACUUUCUGGUGAUUUUUAAUUUGAAGUUGAUCUGCAAUUGGUCAUUAAGAUCCCUAACUGGUUCUGCUCUGUUGAUCUACUCAAGCCUCAUAACAAUUUUCUAGUUAUUUUACAAAGUUUAAUGUUUUAUGAAUUGAUUUGUGUAUAAUUGAUUUAUCGUUCGGAUCGGGUUAACCGGUGAAACCCGAACGGAUUCAAAGCUGCAACCCGUUCGGGUUAAAAUUCGGUUCGAGUUCAACCCGAACCGAAUUUUCAACCCGUUCAAGUUGAAGCUUUUUUUUUUUUUUUUUUUUUAAGAUUCAGCUUUUAAAAAUUAAAAAUAUAUAUACAUUAAACAAAAAAAAUCCCUAUGGUGGUGGUUAAUUAUUGCUAAUUUGGAGAUGUUGUGUUGAGUAUUGAUGGUGUUGGAGAUGGAUCAUUAGCCUUAUUUGUCAUGUGGAGAUGUUUAAUCAUGCUUGUCAUUUGCCAUUUUAAUUUUUAGAUUUGUAAUUUUUGUAGCUUUAUUGUACUUAACUACAUGUUUUAUGUUUUGUUAACUUUAAAAAGACUUGUUGAAAUGUUAUUAAGGAUGAUUUGUGGUUGAUAUUUGUUGUUAAGGAUGUUUGGAAUUGAGAUUUUUGGAUUUUAAGUGGUGGUUGUUAGAAUUUUUAGAUUAAAUUGUUCCUUAAGGAUGUUUGGAAUAUUUGGAAUUGAGAGUUUUAAAUUGUUGAAAUGUUAUUAAGGAUGAUUUGUAGUUGAUAUUUGUUAUUAAAGAUGUUUGGAAUUGAGAUUUUUGGAUUUUAAGUGGUUGUUAUAAUUUUUGGAUUAAAUUGUUCCUUAAGGAUGUUUGGAAUGUUUGGAAUUGAGAUUUUUAAAUUGUUGAAAUGUUAUUAAGGAUGAUUUGUAGUUGAUAUUUGUUGUUAAGAAUGUUUGAAAUUGAGAUUUUUGGAUUUUAAGUGGUGGUUGUUAGAAUUUUUAGAUUAAAUUGUUUCAAUCCAUUCUAAUCCGAACGGGUUGAAACUCAACCGAAACCCGAACAACCCGAACCGAAACCUGAUUUGACCAAUAUAUGUGUCAGUUUAAAAGCAUUUCUUGGCUUUGGAUUUCAUUUGCGUUUUGCUCUGUAUCAUCAACCUGGAUUUAAUGUUUUGAUCGCGUUGGGUUAUUUAUGAACCCGUUAAAAUUUUUUUUAUCAUUCCUUAAAUUGACUGUAGACUGAUCAUGCGUGUUUAUCAGCCACUAAAUUUAACGGUGUCAUUUGACAUCUUUUUGUCAGCAACUGAUUCAUUCAUAGGCAUUACACUUCCUUCAAAUAAAAUUCUGAAGUCAAGAUAGAAGUAAAUUGGGAUCUCUAUGUUGCCGAUGAUGUUAACGUAGCAUGUGCUGAUUAUUUUUCAAGAUUGGUAUUUGACAGCCCGACAGCUGCCACAGAUUCUAAAUCGUCCUUACCACUCAGACAAGAUAUGCUAAGAUUCACCGUAGAAUUGGUCUUCGAACGAUCAAGUGCGGUCAUUUUUGAGUGGCAAAGCAAAUGACACCCUCUCGUUUGAAUUGAAGGAUCUAUGCCGAUUAUUAUUUGAAACGAAAGAUACCUCGAAAGGAAAACUAAUAAUGCAGUAAAGCAAACAAUGAUUGAACCCACUUUUGGUUUUGGAUAGGCAAACGAUGUUUGUGGUUUGCCUGUCGCUUGUUGUGAUCUAAAGAUAAUAUAGCAAUUCGCAGACCACCAUGAUAGUUUUCCUUGACAAUCGUCGUUGUACCUGCUUUCUUUUUCUUUCUUUCUUCUUCUUCUUUUUUAUUUUUUUGGAUUUAGCCACAAACAUUAUUAACCAUACAUUGAGGGCUAAUGCUAAGUUACAUGCAUGUAACUUACAACCCUCUCACAUGAAUAAUGAAUGGUGUGAGCCCACUCACUAUUUAUGUGAGAGGAUUGUAAGUUACAUACAUGUAACUUAGAGGGAUCAUCUAGUGUGCGAAGUCGUGCCUCACACAUUGGGCAGGCGGAAUUUUGGGCUCACAACACAGCCCAAUAAAUGACCACACGCACAGUCGCGCAAUUGAUUGAAAUCUUUUAACCAUCUAUCAUGUCUAAUUAAUUCAAAAUAAAUCUCGUCAUUUAUUAAACUAACAGAAAUUAUUAAUUUUUUGGCAAGCUUUUGCUAUAGUUACAAUCGGGGAUGAUUGGUGCUUAUGGAUCAACUGUGCUUCAAAUCUUUUAUAAUGAGAGAUUACCCCACUAAUCAUGUAAACAAUAAUAAGAUUAUAUUAAUUAGUGAUAUCGAUAUCCUAAACAUAAAGACAAAAUUUGAUCCCUUAUUCCCUUAAUUUUAUCCAUGACACAUAACCUUAGAAUCCAAAAGAUGAAUCAAUUAAGUAUUAACUCAUUUAAUUAAUCACUUAAUUAAAUCCCUUAAAUCUAACGUUUUCCAACAAGCGAACGGACUUAACGACACUCCGAAACGGAGUACCUAACGACGUUAAAAAAAAUAAUAAUAAACAAAAAUCAUCAUUUUACAUUUAUUCAUUUUCCCUCCCUCCCUCUGUCGUCAUCUCUAUUCUGAGCUAAAAAGUAUUUCAACUUUCCUCCCAAUUUUCCCUCACUUUCCCUCUCCCCAAACACAAAUGAAUUGCUCAGUUCUUAUCUUCUAAUUAUUGUUGUUAUUUUCAAUUCUACUUUCUCGUGCUCUGACACACAGCUCUGGAUUCUCUGUUCGUUAGUCUCUUUGUUUCUUUCCGAGGAUUUGUCCAUUUUCUCUCAAAAGCUCCUCGCUUUUCGAAUCUCAAUUAUCGAAUUAACCCGCCACUUUCAAUAUAUCAAUCAAGCACUUUCAAUCAGUUUUAUUAUCAUGCUUCAAAGCUUAGUAGUACCUCAGUCUCCAAUCAAUUCCUCCGCCGCGAUGAAAUCCAAGCGCGUGGACCGCGACGACGACGACGACAACCCCAACGGCGAUCCUUCGAGAGCCGUUGCCAAACGAGCUAACGUGAUCGAACAGGAACAAAAACUACAAGAGCAAGAAGAGGAAGCAGAACAGCACGACGUCGUCGUAAUGGAAGGCGAGUCAGCAGGCUUGAGACUCUUAGGACUCUUGCUACAGUGCGCUGAAUGCGUCGCCAUGGACAAUCUCGACGACGCCACUGAUCUUCUUCCGGAGAUAUCCGAGCUAUCGUCUCCGUUCGGUUCUUCACCGGAACGCGUCGGUGCUUACUUCGCCCACGCGCUUCAGGCGCGUGUUGUCAGUUCUUGUUUGGGAACUUACUCCCCCCUCACCACGAAAUCGUUGACGUUAUCCCAGUCUCAGAAGAUAUUCAACGCCUUGCAAUCAUACAAUUCCAUCUGUCCGUUGAUCAAGUUCUCUCAUUUCACCGCCAAUCAAGCGAUUUUUCAAGCAUUGGACGGUGCAGAUUGUGUCCACAUCAUCGAUCUGGACAUUAUGCAAGGCCUUCAAUGGCCAGGAUUGUUCCACAUCCUCGUAUCCCGGUCUAAAAAGAUCCGAUCCAUGAGAAUAACCGGGUUCGGAUCUUCAUCCGAGUUGCUCGAAUCGACUGGGAGACGACUCGCUGACUUUGCCAUGUCACUCGGCUUGCCGUUCGAUUUUAAUCCGCUGGAGGGCAAAAUUGGGAACAUAAUCGAUGUGAGUCAACUCGGGGUGAGACCUGGGGAAACAAUUGUGGUCCAUUGGAUGCAUCAUUGCUUGUACGACAUAACGGGGAGUGAUUUAGGGACGUUGAGAAUGUUGACUCUGCUGAGGCCGAAGCUGAUUACGAUCGUUGAACAAGAUUUAAGCCACGGUGGCAGUUUUUUGGGACGGUUCGUUGAGGCUUUACAUUAUUACAGCGCGUUGUUCGACGCGCUGGGGGACGGACUGGGUGCUGACAGCAUAGAGAGGCAUACGGUGGAGCAGCAGUUGUUUGGGUGUGAAAUUAGGAACAUAGUGGCGGUUGGUGGGCCCAAGAGGACGGGUGAGGUGAAAGUGGAGAGAUGGGGGGAGGAGUUGACACGGGUCGGAUUCAGACCCGUUUCUCUGAGUGGUAACCCGGCAGCUCAAGCUAGCUUGCUGCUUGGGAUGUUUCCUUGGAAAGGGUAUACUUUGGUGGAGGAAAAUGGGUGCUUGAAAUUGGGCUGGAAAGAUUUGUCCUUGUUGACUGCCUCGGCCUGGCAGCCGUCCGAUUGAAUCAAUCAUUGAUGAUUUGAUUUGAAUUCAUCGGUAUUAAUCAAAAGAAAGAAUUUUGUACGCGCUUGACAUGAUGAUGAUCAAACGUUGGAUUUUGGGGAUGUUUGGUUUUCUUAUGAGACUUCAAGUACAUUUGAGAUUGCGGCUCUGUGGCUUUUAACUCGAUAGAAUUGUGAGGUGUGAAGUUAAAAUCAAAGUUAAGGUGAAGCAAGGCAGUCCUAAACAUAUCUUUGGAAGAUUAAUCAAUUGAUCAAGUGGAAUUCUCUUCUUUAUUCACAAAAAAAACAACAAUAUUUGUAUUUACAUUUAUUUUAAAUAAUCCCAUAAUUUGUAGGUGUUGUAGUGGAUUUGUAAUUGUAAAUGCUGAUAUGAAGUUCAGUUAUUGACUGUUUCUUAGUUUUUUUUUUUUAAAUAAACUUUUCUCCUUAAUAUUCGAUGUGUGUGUUUGUUUUUAUUUAAGCUUUGGUUUUGGGUUGAUUGGAAAUGAAUUUUUGGGUGGAAACAACAAAAUAUAUUCCUAAAUCUUGUAGUCUCUUUUAAAUUUAUGUUGAUGUUAGUAUCGAGCUUUGUCAUUUUCGGGUCCGACCUUACAUGUAAUUAAAUAUUAAUUAGUGUUAUUAUUAUUAUUUUUUUUGUAUUUCACACGAUAUUCCCUGAAAUGAAGUUGCAAGGUUUGAUAUUCCAUCAUUCUCUAUAAACAAUGUCCACAACGAUUUUUUAUUUUUUAAUUUGGUGACUUUGUGAAUCUAUUGUUUUACGACAAAGUUUAAUCUUAUAUUUUCUAGAUAAAAUUCUGUCAAAUCAUUCUAUUCGUUUAGAUGGUUAUAAAAUUUCAACGGUUUUACUCAACAAGAUGCGUUUGAUUGGAUAUUAAAAGUUGUGCCUACUUUGGUACCAAUUAUUAUCAACCAUGAGUAUAAAUUACCUUAAAUCUGUGUGGAUGUGUAGUGCUUAUAAGAGAAAAAUAUUAAUGAAAUUAUUCACAUUUAAAAAUUUAAAAUAUCAUAUAUUAACCAUGUGCGUUUAGAGUAUCCUAACAUAGUGAACACUGAGUAUAAUCAACUAGUAAAAUUUGGAGUAUUUUGCAAUACAAAAGUGAUGUUGGAAGGUGGACUUAGUAAGUGGAUUGAUAUUGCUCUAGAGUGAAAACAUUUUCUCUUUAGGGAUUAGUGAUAAUAGAAUGGAGCUUUUAACACCCUUCUAAAAAUUUUACAACAAUCCUUUUGAAUCUUAUUUCUUAAAGUACUCUUAAUUUAAUUUAUAAAAUACAAACUCAUAUAUUAAAAUUAAUCUCUUCCUAUAAAAUUUCACCUUAGAAAAAAGUAUUUCUUUUGAGUUCUAUUAUAAAAUACAUACAAAUCAUAAAGUCUUUAAAUAUUUUACAUACUUUAUAUCUCUACACUAAAAAUCAUUAAAAUUUAAUAACAAUUUAUUUAAAAAUAUAUUUUAAUUAAAAAUUAGGAUAUAAAAUUUAAAAUUAUAAAAUGGGGUGGGUAUAAAAUUUUUAUUAAAAGAAUAUUUUCAUUUAAGUGUUUAAUUGAAUUUUGUUUCAAAACAAAAAUUGAAGAAUAGAAAUGGAAGAAGAAAGAAGAAACCAAGACUGACGACAAAAUCGCGUAGCUCAUGGUGAGUCACGAUGACUUUGCUGUAGCCGAACGAAUGAGUCCACAUGUGUGAAUGUGAUAUUGUGAUGUAACCUCAAUUAGAAAAUGGAAGCUCUGUUUUUUUUUUUAAAAAAAUAAUUAAUUAAAAAAAAAAAACAUAUUUCAUAAUAGUACAACCUCUCAAAAGUUCUGAGAAACAAUUUUUUAAAGAAUAAAUCACAUUAAAUAAAGCUAUGAUUAACUAACAUAAGAUAAAAGAGUACAAUAUUAUUUCGCCUGCUGGACUGAGGCCCAAUACAAGAGCCGCAUAUUCAGCAUGUGUUUGCCCCAAAAUAUCAAGAAAUUUAUAUUAUUUUAAAUAUAAUAUUAUUUCAGUGAAGAUUUAUCUAGUAGCUUCCGUACUCUCAGAUGGUGGAUUAAUUUCUUGAUACACACCUAAUUAUUUUACAAAGAAAAAAAAAGUUAAAAAUAAAUUAAAAAUAAAUGUUGUUUCAGUGGUGAUGAAGAUAAGUAUGACAUUGAUUCAAAAAUAGAAGAGGGAGGUUGUUGAAAUAAAUUGAGACAGCUAAAUAUCACUAAUUUUUUAUAUAUCAUUUCUUACAGGGAAAAAAAACUUAUAAAUUAGAUAUUAAAAUAAUAAAUAAUUAUUUAAAUAAAAAACUUUAGUCAGUAAAUUGAGGCUGAAAAUUUGGAAUUGGAACCCACCUAAUGGAGAGAAAAUUAGGUUAAUGUUAAACUUGGCUCAAAAUAAGUUUAAUGUUGAAAUUUUUUUAUGCUUUUACUUCAUGUUUUCUUAAGAUGCAAAGUGUUUUUAAUAGAAUUUUAUGUAUUAAUUUUUAUUUUUUUAAAAUAAAUAUACAGAGGAAAUUUAGCUAUGAUAUAUAUAUAUAAUUUUUAUUAUUAAUAAAUUUAAUUAUUUAUAAAACGAAGAGUCCUAUUAGUAAGAGGAGGGACUUAACUUUUUGGUGGGGCGUCUUCCUUGCCCAUGCCUUCAGGCUUCAGUCACCCUUGCUGAAAUAAAAUUAACUAAAAUAUUAGUAAUUCACAACAAUAAUGUUCCAAAAUAAAUUUAGCUACUUUGGGUCAACGAAAUAAUCAAAUAAUGUACACAUAAUAGAGAUUUCCUUGUUUGUAAAGGACAACAAAGUCAUUUCGUGUUUUUUAAACAGGUUUUUCAAAUGGGGUUUUUUUCCGAAAUACCUCUCAAUAAGGGCUAUUUAUCCAAAAAAAAAAAAAAACCAGUAUUUUGCAAGAGGAACCAGUUGCCUAUACCAGCGGAACAAAUAGAGAGAGAGAGAGAGAGAAAAAAAAGACACUAUCAUUGGAGAUAGAGGGAAAAACGUGUUUUUCAUUUUGAUUUGAGAAUCAAAUUGAUAAAAGAAAAGAGCAAGUGAUGGAUAGGUUGAUUCGAAGAUACCCAUUUCUGUUCACGGAUCAAUAUGUUCGUAAUUACAGAGCUACUAAACCAAUCAGAUUAGUUGAUGAUUUCAGCUCCAAUACUGAUGAAAUUCAACGGCUUUCUUGGAAAGUUUCGAUUUUUCUCAAAGAAAGCAACUGGCAGACUCUUAUAAAGAAUUUGAAAAUACCCAAUAAGCUAAACCCAGAUGUGGUUCGAUCUGUGCUCGUUGAAAACCAAGUUGGUAACCCCCAACGGCUCGCGGAUUUCUUCUAUUGGUCCAACUGUAAACUUCGUAUCCCACAAUUGUUGGAUUCUUUUGCUAUUCUUGCUGUUAUGCUUUGUAAUAAUAAUCUUUUUGGUCAUGCUAAUGGUGUUUUGAAUAAAAUGAUAAUCACUCCAAGGCCUUGUUCUGUGAUUUUGAAUUCGAUUAUUUGUUGCUUUAGAAGUAAUGUGGGUUCUAAUGCUAUGGUCUUCGAUAUAUUGAUCGAUAGUUAUCGGAAGAAGGAUAUGGUUAGUGAGGCAGUGGAUACAUUUUUGGGUUUGAAGAAUGGUGGGAUUUUGCCUAGUUUGAGAUGUUGUAAUUCAUUGUUGAAUUAUUUGUUGAAGGGCAAUAGGCUGGAGUUGUUUUGGAAGGUUUAUGAUGGAAUGCUGGGUGCAAAAAUGGAUUUUGAUGCAUAUACAUAUACGAAUUUGGCUGGCGCAUUUUGCAAGGUUGGGGAUUUGAAGAGUGCAAAAAGGGUACUUAGUGAGAUGGAUGAGAAGGGAUGCAGUCCUGAUGUGUUUAUUUUCAAUGUGGUGAUUGGAGGCUUUUGCCGAGUUGGAGCUAUGGCUGAAGUGUUUGAGCUGAAAAAGUCUAUGGUUGAAAAGGGAUUAGUCCUGGAUAUAAAUACUUACAGGAUGAUCAUUGAUAUGCUUUGCAGAGGGAGAAAAAUGGAAGAUGCAAAAUUGAUGUUGCAAGAGAUCACUCAAUUGAUCGAUAGUUAUCGGAAGAAGGAUAUGGUUAGUGAGGCAGUGGAUACAUUUUUGGGUUUGAAGAAUGGUGGGAUUUUGCCUAGUUUGAGAUGUUGUAAUUCAUUGUUGAAUUAUUUGUUGAAGGGCAAUAGGCUGGAGUUGUUUUGGAAGGUUUAUGAUGGAAUGCUGCGUGCAAAAAUGGAUUUUGAUGCAUAUACAUAUACGAAUUUGGCUAGCGCAUUUUGUGAGGUUGGGGAUUUGAAGAGUGCAAAAAGGGUACUUAGUGAGAUGGAUGAGAAGGGAUGCAGUCCUGAUGUGUUUAUUUUCAAUGUGGUGAUUGGAGGCUUUUGCCGAGUUGGAGCUAUGGCUGAAGUGUUUGAGCUGAAAAAGUCUAUGGUUGAAAAGGGAUUAGUCCCGGAUACGUAUACUUACAGGAUGAUCAUUGAUAUGCUUUGCAGAGGGAGGAAAAUGGAAGAUGCAAAAUUGAUGUUGCAAGAGAUUACUCAAUUGGGUUUGGAGCCUCAUUAUGCUGUGUAUUCUGCUUUGAUUCAUGGGUUCGCAAUGGAAGAAAAUAUUGAUGAGGCUUUCAGAAUGAAGGAUGAGAUGGUUUCUUGUGGUAUGCAGCUAAAUUUGAUGACAUACAAUUCGCUUGUCCGUUGUACUUGUAAGUAUGGGAAGAUGGAGAAGGCAGUUGCGGUUGUGGAUGAGAUGAUAAAGAUGGGCUUGCAACCAAACUGCCAAACUUAUUUUUCGUUGAUUGAGGGAUACUGCAGGGAGCAUAAUAUGGAUAGGGUAUUAGAGCUACUUUCUGAAAUGGACGGGAAGAAUUUGGUGCCUUCUGCAGUGACAAUUAUUAAUAUAUUAUGCAACUGUAAGGAUAUUUUUAAGAAAACCUUAGCUAAAGACAUUUUUAAGAAGAUACUUGCUGGUGGCUUCAAGCCAAGUACUGCGAUAUACAGAAAUCUUAUUGUGGGUUACGCUCGUGAGGGUAGGAUUGAGGAGGCAAGAGAGAUUUUAGACGGGAUGAGUGACAAAGGAUUUGCACCUGAUUUAUUCUGCUAUAAUCCCAUCUUGACAUGCCUUAGCAAAGCUGGGAAGAUGGAAGAAGCUACAGCAUGUUUUUUUGAGAUUUCUGAGAGGGGUCUAAUCCCUGAUGCUGUUACUUAUGGGGCCUUAAUCUGUGGAUUUAGUAAGGAAGGAAAAAUGAAGGAAGCAGCAAUGUAUUUCGAUGAGAUGCUUAAUCGUGGUUUGCUACCGAAUAAUCUUGUUUACACUGUCUUGAUUGGUGGGCACUUAAAAGCAGGUAACUUAGUGAAAGCUCUUGCAACAUUCAAAUGCAUACUUGGGCUGAGGGUGCUUCCAGAUGUGCAAACCUAUAGUGUCUUGAUAAAUGGCCUGGCUAAUAAUGGGAAAACUAAGGAGGCCUUUGAGAUCGUCUCACAGAUGAAAGAAAGGUGUUUGGUUCCUGAUCUUGUCACCUAUAGUUCUGUUAUCUCCGGAUUUUGUAAACAAGCUGAGAUGGAGAAAGCUUUUCAAGUUUAUGAUGAGAUGCAUUUUAAUGGUAUUGAUCCUAAUAUUUUUAUUGUCAACAUAUUGAUGGAUGGACUAUGCAAGUUAGGAGAUGUUCAAGGAGCCAGACAAUUGUUUGAUAGCAUUCAAGAAAAGGGGUUGGCACCUGACAAAGUAACCUACUCCACCUUGAUUGAUGGUUACUGCAAAGCGGGGGAUGUGACUGAGGGUUUCAAUAUAUUUAAUGAGAUGCAAUCAAAAGGGGUUGAACCACACGAUUUUGUGUACAAUGCUCUUCUCCAUGGGUGUUGCAGGGAAGCAGAUAUGGAGAAGGCAUUCAGCUUGUUUCAUGAAAUGGUGAAGAAGGGUUUUGCUACUACAUUAUCGUAUAAUAUUUUAAUUGAUGGAUUUUGCAAGUCUUGGAAGCUGCAGGAAGCUUUUUCUUUGCUAGAGGGAAUGAUUGAAAAGCAAAUAUUACCCGAUCAUGUGACUUACACUACUGUGAUUGAUUGGCAUUGCAAGGUGGGGAAGAUGAAGGAGGCUAACCUGCUCUUUUUGGAUAUGCAGAAGAGAGAGAUUAUGCCGGAUGUGGUCACUUACACAUCACUUAUGCAAGGUUACCACAAAAUAGGGAUGGAGACUGAGGUUUUCACAUUAUAUGAGGAUAUGUUGGCAAAGGGUAUCAAACCGGAUGAAGCAGCUUAUGAUAUUGUAAUUGAUGCUCAUUGCAAGAAUGAUAACUUAACUGAGGCUUUUAAGUUGCGAGAUGAGAUGUUGCGGAAGGGUUUGCUGUCAAAGGGUAGUGCUUACGAUUCAUUAAUAGAUGCUCUUUGCAAGAAGGGAGAUCUUUCUGAAGUUUCAAAGCUGCUUGAGGAGAUGAAGCAGCAUGAGGUUAAGCCCUGCCUUAGUACAUGUAGUGGUCUACUCGAUAGUUUUCAUAAAGCUGGAGAAAUAGAUGAAGCAGCAAAGAUAUUUAGGAGUAUGAUAAAUUAUGGGUGGGUACCUGAUGACUCUAGUUUGAGUGAGUCAGAGAACAGGCACUUAACUGAUCAAAAUUCUGUGAGUAAUCACAAACUUGUCAAAUGUAUGGCAUAAAGAGUGCAUCAGCUAGAAGUACCCUUGGUCAAGAACUGAAGCUGUAAAGAAAAACUAUAUUCUGCUUGCAGUUGCUGCUACCUCCUCAUAAAAAAGUAAACCGUUUCUUGAGUAAGCAUAAAAAUGAAGUGUGGAACUCAAGCAUAAAUGGAUCAGCUAUUCAGAUUUUUAAUGGGGACCAACUUCUGUAGCUUUGCCUUCUGUAAGGGACUUGCUGCUUUUACUCUGUAUGCCAUUUAUGUUGGUUUCCCAAGCCUCCAAAUACGAUUUAUCAUGUCUAAGGUUAGUGCAGCUGUUAGAGGCCAAUGUUACUCUUAAUUGUUGGAGUGGCUUUUGGUUUUAAACCAUGCUUUUUUGCACUUUCAGGUAUGAACUGUCAUUGUAGUGAACUUCAGUAUCUACAAAGGUACAUGUUCCAGCCACAUUUGGCAGUGAAAGCAGAGAAAUGCAUGCGUCUGCUGAUCUUCACAUUGUGCCUGAGGUGAUUUAUUUGAAUUCAUUAACUUAUUUUUUAUGUAUGUAUAGAUUCGAAUCUAAACUGUAGACAUGGUUAAUCGCCAUAUUGGUGGCAUAUAUUUCUCUCUUUUUGGUCCCCAAAGAAACUGUCAUAUACUAAUCUAUUGAAUUUGGUCACAUUUGAAUAACCAUUUUUAUUCAUGAUAUUCUAGCAUAUUCUAGUUAUUAUCUGGGUUGAUGUUUCUUAUUUUAUCAACAGGGUUCCAACAAUCUUCCUUUCAGAUGUCAGCUAAUUUAUGGACCGUCAAGCUUUUGAUUAGUGAGAUUUUGCAGAAACGUAUGAGCAAAAAGUCUUUAUUGCCAUAUAAGAGCCCACAGCAAAGGGGAGAUAAGGCUGUACUGCAGGAGUCCAGAGAAUUUCAUUCAAGGCUGCAAUCUGUUUUGCAGAAUAAAAGACAUUAGGCAUCUUACUUAGCAAUUCAUGAUUUUUAUCUGAUUCUGAAGUUGUUUUACGCAUUUAUUUCUUGUAGCUUAAAAUGAAUAAUUAGAUGUUUUUUUUUUUGAGAGAGCUGGUGGACGAAAUCGAAAUCGAUUUGUAGGCCUCUAACCUCCUCAGGAUUUGAACUCGGGUGGGCAGGCAAAUAAAGGGACUUGAAAACCACUUGGCUGAGCCCCUGAUGCUGAUUUGAUCCUUUGUAAAUUUUCCAAUGUUCUACGAAGCCAUCCAUUUUUCCUGUUCUAUUUACCCAUAAUACUUGUUGGUAAUCUUAUUUGAUUCCUUUGAGAUGAUAAUGAUUAUUCUUCUGCUUUGAUAGUUGUUGCUGUGUGUUCUAUUGUUGGUGGCUGGGUAUGAAAUUUAAUGCAAUUAAAAUGAGAAUAAUUUCUGAAUGAUUUCUCGAUUAGACUGUUUCAACAUAAGAUAAAGGUGAACUUUAUCUGGAAAUACAAGUUAUCAUUCUCCUUUUUUUUUUUUUUUGGGUUCUUGCGGUAUUUUAAUUUAUCAUCAAAACUUUCAAUCAUGAAUGAUUUCUCACCAAAGUUUGGCCGGAACUUCAAUUUUUAUUGGCUUGAUUUUUGGUGAGCUUUUUAAUAUUUAUAUAAUGCACAGGAAUUUCAGAAAGGAAAAUGGAAGCACCAAGGAUAUGUUGUAUAGCAUCACUUGGACAUGAGCAAAAAUGCAGCAGCAAAUAUCACUUGUGUUUUCUUGGACAAAAUUUUAAUCAAUUCUAUGCGAUGUUUCCAGGAAGCAUCUGCAAUAUAAGAUAGAUACAAACUUGACAAAUUACAUGAAUCAACUGUAGUUUUGCUUUGCAUGCAGGCAAGGGAUAAGAAUGAAAACAAAUUCCCUGGCCAAUUCUCAAAUACCUGAAUGAAAAAGCAUACAAACAAAGCUUUCCAGUCUUCUGUGCAUUUACUUGUAUGAAGGAAAAAGGAAUAACCCAAAAGAAAAAAGCUUUAAUACAAGGCAAAAACCAAAACCCAGAAUAUCAAACCUAAUAUCGUUUCCCCAGAAUUAUGCCGAUGAUCACAGACACCAGGGCUACUCCAAUGAUAAACUUGAAGGUCAUUACAGGAGAGGCAUCGGCUCGUGCGGUAGGGAUCUCUCUGGUAGAUGAGGUUUGAGCUGCUGCUUCUAACUUCUUGCUCUUUCGUUUUGAUGGUGUCGAAAUGACUGACCCAAUGUCUCUGGAUUUGAUCUCUGCUGCAUCCUUCACUUCUGAUGGAGUGUCCUCACCGCCCUGCUGCAUUUAUUCCAACAUAGGCGGAGUUAAAUUUUCAUUCAGAAGACAGGGUUCAAAUAUUAGAACAAACUGAAAUUCUUGAAAGAUUUGAACGAAGAGAGUUGUUUCUUUCAUUUCACAACAGACUAAUUUAAAAGCUUUGCUAAGUGGAGCAGAAUGAGAAACAAAGUGUUCAAGUGCAGAUAUGUUUGAUGAGAAAUGUUGUAGCAGUUGACAGAUGUAGCUUUGGAAUAUAAACUGACCUUCAGUUUAGCCUGAGCUUGUUGUAACUUCUGCUCAAGCUCUGCAACUUUGUUCUGUAGAAGUGCAGCUUCUUUGUUCUUAGCUCCAAGCUCUUCAAGAGAACUCUUCAGAGCUGCCUCUCGCUCACUGUCCUUUUGAGAAUCUGCCCCUCUCUGUCACAUUGGAAAGUCAAUUGUCAACCUCUCACUAUACUAUGAAUGUGUUUGGGGCAGCACCCUAUAUUGGUUAAUCCUUAUUCAGACAUAAAAAUUAUAGAAGGAAACAUGACUUUGUUCAGGCACAAAAUGCAACAAAUUUUCUUCUAGAAGUAAGUUAAAUAACAACUGAUCAACCAUAAUCUUGUAAGGAAUUUACAGUAAAGAAGCCUAGGUAUAUAAAAUGUUGCAACCAGUCACUAACCUGUUCAGCAAUUGCUGUCUGAGCAAUCUGUAACUCUCUCUGAAGUUGAAUCACUUGUUCAUAUAAUGCAUUUCGGUCCUUGACUUCAUGUGCAUGAUCCUCUAAUUUUGAAUUUAGUUCUGCCUCUUUACCAGCAGCAGAAACCUUGACGUUUUCAACCUGCAAAAAAGUACAUAAAUGUUAGAAUGGUUUCUCAAUCUGUGAGUAGAUUCUUUCCAGUUGCUUCCCCCGAAGUUUUGUUAUUAAAUCUUGCAGAACUGCAGUAACAGUACCUCUUCUUUGAAUUGAGUUUCGACAUUCACCAACAAUUCUUCAAGUUCUUUGAUGCGAGUUUCCAACGCAAACUUUUCAGCAGCCUGAGCUUUAAGACUUUCUAUCUCAUACUUGAAAGUUUCUUCAGUUGCUUUCUUCUCAUUCAAUUGUGCUUCAAGCUGUGAUAUCACAGACUGAAGUUCAUUCUUAGCAUUUUGAUAUGUUUCAUUAAGGCUAUUAUUCUCUUCCAUAAUGGCAGAAAUCUACAACAAGACAAACAUCAAGCUCAGUAUGUUACAAGAAAAAUAAAUCAUCAUAUCAUUGAUUAGCAUAGUAUUUUAAGAUUGGGCUGCAAACCUGAGUUUGUAGUCCCUGCACUUCAGAGGUAAGCUUCUGCGUCAAAUCUUCUAUAGCCUUCUUUGAGGCAUGAAGCUGUUCAACAGUUUCAUCCUUCUCAACAAUUGUCGCAGAAAGUUUUGCUUGCAAAUCGCUCAGUUUAGUCUCGUACAAUGCCAGAUCCUCAGUUAGCUUCAAAUUUGUCUCAACCAACCCUCCACUUUCUCUUUCAAAGUGACCUGACCUUGUUUGCAGCUCCUCAACAGUACUUUCUAGAUUCUUUAACUUCAAUAAAGUCUCUUCCAGCUCAAAUUUUCGAGUUUCUGCAACUGUGGAUGCCUCCCGAGCCUGCUCUUCGUACGAUUUUAUUUGGCCUUCAAGCACACUUACCUUUUCGUUCAAGUUAUUAGCUUCAAUAUCUCUUUGAGUGAAUCUUUGGAUGGCUUCAUGCAAUUGAAUUUCUGCUUCUUUGACACAAGCUUCAGUUGCAGAGUGAAGUUCUAAUGCUCUUGAGUGCUGCUCUGUUAACUCUGUAACUGUGUUCAUAUGAGAAGCAAGUUGUUGGCCGGUCGCUUCCUUUUCUGAAAUAGCAGAGUCCAAUAAUUCCUGAAGUUCAGCAACCUUGCUCUUGAGCUGAUUGUUUGUCUCAACCAGGAGUUCAUUCUCCGAGGAAGAGUUGUUAGCUUUAUUGUUUGCUUCAACUACCUGCCUUUGCAGUUCUUCGUUUGUGCUUUCUAAAGAAGUCACUUUAAUAAAAUAUGAAUCCAAUUCCUCCUUCAACAAUGCAUAUUUUCCGGCUCCUUCAGCUAGCUGCUCUUCGUACAUCUUUACUUGACCUUCAAGAUUCUUUAGUUUCUCAGAAAACGAUUUAGCCUCUGAAUCCCUGCUGGUUAUAUUUGCUAAGGCAUCUUGGAGUUUCAUUUCUGACUCCCUCAUUAGUGAUUCGUGCAAUGAUUCAAGCUCUGAGUUUCUUGAAGUAGCUUGCUCUAGUACCCUAGUUUGUUGCUCUAGUUGCUCUUCGGCAGAUUUAAGCUUCUCCAUUACAUCAGUUUCUCUCAAUCCAGCAGCCUUAAGAUCUUUCUCAAUGCUCUCCAGCCUCUCUUGUGUCAUAUUUAAAUCAUUUCUCAGGAGUUCCAGCAGAUUUUCAGCCUCGGCAAGUUUUUCAUUGUAACCAUUUGAUGUAUCUUGCAACUUUCUCUUCUCAUCCGCAGCUGCAUUUAAGGAUUCUGUCAAUUCCCUCUCCUUAUCAUUGGCCAUUUGCAGUGCCACUUCAAGGCUUGAUGUUCUGGCCUGAAAUGCCUCAAGUUCUGAUGCAAGUUCACACACAUUGUCAGAGUAUUGCUUGGAUCCCGCUUCUGCUUCCUCACAUUUCUUCUCUAAUGUGCUUAUUUGUUCUUCAAGUUCCUGAAUCCUAUACUUCUCAGCCUCAAGUAACAGCUCUAACUCAUUCACCCUUUUUCCAGUACCCUCUAAUUUGGAAUGAGAUGUCUGGAACAAAUCUUCUAGCUCAAUGCUGCGCUGAUGACUCAUGUUGGCUCGGUCCUCAUCUUCAGCACUUCUCUCCUUGGUAAUCCUCAGCUCCUCCUCAAGCUCUGAACUCCGUGUGUUUGACUGGUUUAGGGUUAAUUCCAGCUGGGUUAUCUUAUCCUUGCAAUCAUUCAUUUGAUCAUUCAACUGUUUCUUUUCCUCCUCAACUUCCUUCAAUGCAGUACUGAGUUGAGAUAAUUUCUCAGAGAAUUCCCUCACUUCUCUCUCAGAAUCACUGCUUUUAAGUUCAACAAGGUUCAACUGUUGCUCAAGCUCCACGCUCCGCUGUUCUGCUGCUAUAAAGCGUGGUUCAAGAUCUCUCAAUUGGGACUUUGCCUCUUCUGCUGCUUCAUUGGAAGCUCUGAUUAUAUCCUCAAGCUCAAGAUUCCUCUGAGAAGCAGUUGCCGCUGCAGCUCCUGUCUCAUUAUGUUGCUCUUCCAGAGACUUCAGCUUCAGCUCAAGCUCCGCAUUAUUAGCCAAAGCUUGAGACAGAAGAGAAUCUGUUUUACAGAAAUUCUCAUCUGAAUUCCUCAAUUUUUCCUCAAGUUCACUGCAUAACUCCUUCAUCCGUGCUAUGUUACCAGUAAGAUCUGCCAUGGCUGCUUCAAGAGCUUCUUUCUCUUUACUUACUUUAUCUAAUUCUUCAUUUACAUUUGAGACCUGCGCUUCUUGGGUUUUCAACACAGCUUCAACUGAUUCCCGUGCAUUGACUUCCUCUUGCAACUUCAACUUGAUAUCUUCCAGCUCAGAAACUUUAGCGUGAAGAUUUUCUUUAGCGUCUGCAAGUAGAUUAUCAAGGGCGGAAAUUUCCUCUUUUGCCUGAGAUUCUGAUGCCUUUAUGAGGUCCAAUUCCUGAGUUAGAGUAGUAAUAAGAGCUUCCUUUGAAGAGACUCUUUGCUCCAAGUCCAAGAGUUGUAAUUUUGAAAGUCCCAACUCUUCCUGAAUUGCAGAAAUUUCUGUGUUGCUUCUCUUAAGCUCUUCUUCAACUUUCUCCUUCUCAGAAAUCUUUUCAUUCAGGCCCUUGAGCUCUUCUUGUAGGGAAGCCAUCUGACCCUCCACUUCUUUUGCACUCACAUUCGCAGUUUCAAGCAGCCUCUCAAACUCCAACGCCCUCUGUGACUCAGAUUCUGCAUGUGAACCACUUUGCUUGUGCAACUCCUCAAACUUCCUAGCCUCAUCCACAGAACACUGUAACUUAUGCUCCAACUCCUGCAAUCUUGACCUUGAUUGUUCAAUUUCAAGACUUAGACCAUCAAAUGCUUCUUUCACUUCAGCCAGCUCCUUACGCUUUGCUUCUUCAGCUUGCAAAGCCUCUUUCAUAGCAUUGAGCUCUGAAUUAUAUUUCUCCCCAGCUUCAACAAUCUGCUCUUGGAAUUUCUUUUGACCAAUUUCAAGCUCUUCGCAUUUCUUUCCACUUUCCUCCAGCUUCUCUUUUGUAAUUAAAACAUCAUCCUGUAGUCUUGCAUUUUCAAUUUCAGCAUUCUUCAAUGCAGUAGCUGCUCUCUCCAAUUCAAUCUCAAGUUCUUUCACCUUCUCAUUGGCUUCCAACAAUUCUCUGCUCGAACUGCUCGAGCUUCUAUCAACUACAGAUGGCUUGUCGUCCUCCUCUGCAGCUGCUGGCUCAGCCAUAUGAGAAACUUCCUUCACAUCCAAUGCUUCCUUCUCCACUUUUAUAAAUUCUGCAUCCAAUGCAUUUUCUUCCUCUUCUUUCUUUCCUUCUUUUCCUACUUGUGGCAAGCCUCCAUUUGUUUCCUGCAACACGAGAAAUUAUCAAAAUCAAUUAUCUACAGUUGAAAAAUCCUGAAUAAAAUAAAAUCCUGAAUGUUUGUUUGCGUUUUUUUUUUUUUUUUUUUUUAAACCUUAAUUGGAUCAAUGUCCUCAACUGCUUUCAUCACAGGGACUUCUGAACCCACUUGCGUUUCUUCUUCCAUGUUUAAAUCAAUCUUCAACAGACCAGUCUCUCUGUGAUUUUGACAAGAUUAUAGUCACAUUACACAUGUUAGAACAAAGGACAUAAAUAAUAGCACGUGCAAUUGGGUGUCUGAAAAAUGCAUACAGAAUAACAGAACAUUCAUCAUGCACCUAACCGGACCUAUUUGAGGCUAUUUCCAAAGACAAUGUCAGCAUAACUCAACCCAUUUUACGCCACCAAAAAUAAAAAAUAAAAAAUAAAAACUAAGGAAAUUUUUUUUUUACCCUUUUCCUUGAUUGACCGAUUGGAGUUUAUGUUCUCCUGACCAUGACAUCAUUCAUCAUCAAUACAAUAUACACAUACCAAGUAAAAAAUGUACAUAUUUAUAUAUGUGAAAAUGUACAUCAUUCGAACUACGCAUCUUUGUAUAUUGUAUUGAUGAUGAUAAUUAUGUAAUUUGAUUCUUUAUGUGAGACAACAAUAGUAGCUCGUUCUACAAGGCCUAAUCGAAUGAUAGGCCCAACUACAAUCUUGAAAUUCUAGGUGCCCAACAACAGGCUGUUUUAUUUUGUCUUCUAAUUUUAACCUGACGUGGGAAGUUUUGGCAUCUUUUCCUAACCUUGAUUCCCUGUUUUUAAUGUCUGUUAAAUUAAUUCAAAUAUUCAAUCAUCUGUAUAACUUUAAGCUAGUCACCAAAUUUGGAAACUUUUAUGGACUCACAAAUGAAAAAACUGAAAAAAAUUAGAAGCUUUAUGGGUUGUAGUUUCCGGCUGCCAAUUAAGGAAUCGUAAGAUUUAGGGAACCCGGCGGGUCAACAAGCAGCCCAAUUAAUGAUUGCCCUAGACCCGGCCCAAAUUUCCCAUGGAUGCCCCACCAUUGACAAAGACAAUGUAUUAUAUAAGAAAAGGACUUGACUAGCUUACAGUAUCUGUAAGCUACAGACUGCAGCAUCAGCCGUUGGAUGUGGUUGGAUGUGGAGUGAGAAACUAAACAAUAGAAGAUCGGAUGGUGGGAUGACGGGAGAUGUUUGUUACAGAAUCUGUACCAUAGACAGGUCCAUAAGAAAAAGAAAAAUAUUUCUUCAGUGACAUGUAUUAUUAAUGGGUCCAAGGGUCAAUAGGCUUUUAGUUGCUUGUACAAUUUUUUACUUACUAGAUCGAUCUUAAGACUUAACCGCGAAAAAAUUUAUUAAUCUAAUGAUAUUAGAAAAAUAUAACUUGUGUACAAAUCUAGGGAUAUUACGGAUCCUACUCAUGGAAGAAUAAUUCCUGGGGAUGAAUAAUUGGUCCAUAUGAUCUAAAAUCACAUGAGAGUUGGCAUUAAUCGAUCCUGUGACAACGCAUGCCAUGUGAGACCAUUUUACUUGGUGGGUCCCAAUUCCUCCUACGGGGACGUACAAGACAAAAUUACCUAUCAAUCCCAAAUUCCAAACUGAUUCAUGAUUCAAUUCAUCACCAUAAAUCAAGAAAAGAAAAACAAUACUCCGGUUAUGGGGCUUUCGGCCAUUCCAUCAUCAACCCAAUUUACUAAGAUUAGAAUUGCCUUUUUAUUUCUUUUCAAAAAAAAAAAAAAAAAUUGCCGUUUAUUUUGCAAAUACACCAAAAAGAAAGCAAGAGAAAUUGGAGCCCACUAAAGUAGGCAAGCUAUCCCUUUACCUUAUUUUUAGUUCAAUUUCAAAGUUGAAGCGCGUGACAGCUCAAAUUUGUACGCUUUUUAUAUGGUUAUUAUCAAGCUUUCUAUUUUCCCAUUAACAACGUAAUUAUCAUUUUCUAAGGUUAUGUUACGGCACGAAGAUCCCGUAACAUUGCAAACACGAUAGUUUAUAAUAUAAAAUAUCACACUUGUAAUUAUAAAAAAAUAAUUUAUAUCAAACUUAUAAUAUUAAUUAAAAAUUAUAUAAUUACAAGCUUCAGUAUAUUUUUCCUCUAUUUAUUCAUUUAUUUUAUAAUUUGUAAUUUGUUUUUUUCUUCUUGCACUGCACUAAUUAGCCUGAGCUACAAAUUGCUUAUGCUUGCAAACAAAAUAAAUAGAUAAACGAAGCAUAUGUUUUAGAUCACAUUAAGUUAAGAUCAUAAGUUACAUUUCAAAGUCUUAAAACUAAAAGAUAAAACCAUCCGAUUGCUAUCGCUAAUCCUCGCUCACUUUUCAGCAAGAAAAAUAGUUUUAAACUGAGAAACAAUUUUUUUUUUUAAAAAAAAAAUUGCUUUGAAUGAUAUUGACCGAUCGAUCGAUCGAUCGAUCGAGUGAACGAAUCGAAGAUCAAAAUAUGUUAUGUUCGUCCGAUCAAAUAAUAUCUACAUAACAAACCGAAGAACUAAUUCUAAAACGUUUCUUCAUUUCUGUUUCCAAAUUACACUUCCGAAAAUACAGUGAAAUCAAUUUAAAAAAAAAAAUUGGAAGCAUCAAAAUCUAAACUCACGAAGUGGAUCACUGGUUUCAAUCAUCAUAUAAUCAAACGAAGAUCACAGCUUAAUAUUUCAUCGCAACACAUAAAACAGAAACAAAAACGACAAAGCAAUAAAACUAAAACUGAAAGCAGAGAAAACAGAGGCAACAGUUUCAGAAAACAGAGUGAAGACAGCUCAGACUCAAUCAAGCAUAUAAAUAAAUAAAUAAAUAAAUGGAAGGAAGGAAUAAGAGAUUGCUUGCCUGAAUGGAAAGUCGAUUUGCUUUGCGAUUAAGAGAGCUUUAAUUUGUUCGUUUUAUUUUUAUUUUGUUUUAUUUUGAUUUUUGGAAGUCAAGAAGAAUGAAGAAAACGGGAGAGAGACAAGAGGAAGUUUCUUUGUUUUUAUAAUAAAAGGUGGGAGGAGAAGGAGGAUGCUCUGGCUUUAUGAAAGAGUGACGUGGGACACUGGUGGGGCCCACUUAAUAGGCAAUUGGACAAUGGGCGGGUUUAAACGCUGCCGCUUUGUCAUGCCCGCAGUAUUUGCUGCAUGAUUUGGCUUUAAUUACAGUCUUAGCCCCCUCUUUUUUUUUUUGCCAUUAAACAACAAUUUCAAAAUCAAAUUAUGCUUUUGCAACCAAUAAAUAGAAAUUUUUUAGAAUUUGGGGAAUUUUAUGAUUAAAUUAAAAAGUAACAUUGCAACUACUGCAUUUAUGUCCGAACCCAUCCAGGUGAGUAUGUUCGUAUACUAAGGUUCUUUUUAAUACAACUUUUCAAGUAAAACUUAAUUAAGUAGAGUUUUUGUUAGUAGAGCUUUUAUAAAUAGAGUUUUUAUUAAAAAAAAUUUAAUUGUUUGGUUGCCAAUAAUAACUUUUAUUAAAAUUUUAUGAAAUUACUUUAAUAGUAAAUUUUUUAAAGUUAUGUUAUCAAAAUAAUAAAAUAAGAUUGUCAAAUAAGUAGAGAAUAUUUGAGAUAUUUUAAUAUUUUAAAAAAACUUUUCAACCUCUACUCCUACAAACCCAAAAUUUAAGCUUUUAUCAGUAGAAGUAAAAUAGUUUAUUUAAUCUUUAAAAGUUUUAUUAGAAAAACAACCAAAUAACAACAAAAAUUAUUACAAGAUCUUAUGAAAUUAAAUAAACACUUAUAACCAUUAAAUAAAUCAUACCAAAUAAGCAUUAAAUCUCUUAAUUCAACUCAAUAUAUUUUAUCAUUUGAACUAAUUAACACCUGUAUUGGAACUUUUGACUUUUUCAUUUAAAAUAAUACGUAAAUUUAUUUAAAAUUAACUGAGUAAUGAUGAAAUGGUAUGGUAAUUACUAUAACAAUAUCAAAUCAAUUGUUAUAUCAUAUACAACUGUAAAACAGCUUGAAAACAAUAUUACUCUUAAAUAAAAUGAUUAAAAUUUCUUUCACAAUCAAUGAUGAUCAAACUCAUAAUGAGCAUGCUCAAGUAAAAUAUUUCCUUCCAGACCAUCUACUUCCAGAAAGGUCCUUGAUUCCAUUAGAUUAAAAAAUAAGCUAAGCAUCAAGCAAUGUGUUGCAGAUCAUUUUAAUGCUUUCCAAUUACUUAAUUUACUUUCUUGAAUUAGUCUUUUUUUUUUUUUUUACCAAAUUCAAAGAGAGAAACGGCGUUCCGGAAAUUGGAGACAUAAUAAAGGAUUAAUUGGUCAUUUAACAACUUAAAAGCAAUUCCCUCUUUUUGGUCUCAAAGUGGCGGCCACAGCCGACCGACCAAACCGCCCUCCAACGCGACCCUGUCUUUAUGUGGGUGACGAUAAUACAGACCAUCAGCCGCUGGCUCUUUCUCCAUUUUUGGAAUCAAUCUCUUUCAUGCUUUCUUCAAAUUAGCAAAACUAAUAAACUAUUCGCAAAAUUAGCAAAACAUUUUACUUUAGUUGCAUUCAGCUCCCCCUCAACCAACUAACAUUAUUUGCAUUAAACCCCAUGACGAUUAUAAUUUACAAAUGCAUUUAUGUUUGUAGCAUAAACUUGAUGUGUAUUGGUACAAACUUCGUGAUCUUUGUAGCGGUGAACAAAUUUUCUCACUGCUCAAAUGAACCAAAUUAAAAUUAGCUUGAUUUCAUUAAAAUUGAAAUUAUAAUCAUUUCAUUAAAAUUCACUUCACUGUUAGUAUUUGAUUUUCUUUGAUAAUUCAAUUAAUGGUGAAUUGCUCGGUCGUUGAUUUGAUUUUCUUCAAAACUAAAUUGAAAUUCACUUUGUCCAUCCAUAAGUCUUUAUUACGGAGUUUCAAUAAUUUUGAAGGAAACAAAUGUUAUCAAAUUAAAUUGUAUUUAUGUUAUUAAAAAAUCUCAAUGGUGUUAUUUUUUUUUAAAAAAGGAAAUCAUAUGUUAUAAAUUUUUCCUAAAAAAUCUAUUUUAAAUUGUGGAUAAUCAAUCAAAUUGUUAAUUUUUUUAAAAGUUUUUAAUAAAGUUUACUUAACACAAAAUUGCAUAAGGUUACGAUAUUUCUAGAAUUAUAGAUGCCAUCAUUUUCUUGCUGAAGAGGCGUGAGUGGUGGUAGGUGGGAUAUAAAAUGAAACCACUUUCUAAUUUAAGGGACUAUAAUUAGAGAUAAUCAAAUAUUUGGACCAAUCAAUGAUCAUAUUUAUCUUUUGUGAAAGAAUUAUGAUUUGACUAUAUAUUGCUGAAAAAUCAUGGCCGCCCGAAGCAACAUUUGACUAUUAGUUUAAGACUCAACUAAAUUCGACGCACCUACUCAAAACGGUCAACCGUGUGCUAAUUCUACUUGUGUGGCCAAUCAAUUGGUUUAUAUAUAAAAUUAGUUUACAAGUUAUUCUUUUUAAAUGAUUUCCUUAAUUCUAAAAUCAGAGAAUCUACCCUUUAAAUAUAUAUAUAUACAUAGAGGGAGAGAGAGAAUUCAUUUGGAAAAUUUUUUUUUUUUUUAAAUUCAAAAACUAACAAUUAAAAAAAAAGGGUCUACAAACAAUAAAAUAAAGCUACGUUUGACUUCUAUCUAGUAAUUAUAAUUUUUAGGUUAAGCGAUUCAACUAAAGUUUAAAACUUUCGCACUCACUUUGUUCAGAUUUACUUGGGUUUGUAUUUACUUAAACGGGCUGGAAAUGUGAGAGGGCUACGGCCCAUAAAAGUAAUUGGGAAGGCCCAACAGAGCCUAAGAGGCUCAAUAUUGACGAUUAUGGGACUGAAAAUUGGAAUAAUUACCAUUACACUCGUUAUCCGUUUUGCGUGAAAUCUAUGUAAGCUAAAGCUGACACACACACGAUGACACGACGAUCAUAGAGACGAAAGUAUUAGUUUGAAAAAAAAAAAAAAAAAGUUCAAAGAGAAGAAGAAAAAGGAAAAGAAAUGGAUGGAAUGAUGCAAAUGGGGCUUCCAGUUCUGGGAAUUGUGGCAGCUGCUGCUGUUACUUUCUAUGCUGUAAGCUUUGCCGAGCUUAGAGAGGUAACCAUAUUUUAUUUAUUUAUUUAUUUUACUUUAAUUAUCUGUUUUAUUAAUUUACUCUGAACUAUUAUUUUAUCGUGGGUUUGUGUGUGUAGAAAUCUUUUAGAGAUUUAGAUGAUGAGUCGGAGGAUGAAAAUGGAGGAGGAUUCAAGAAAUCUUUAAGUUCUAGAGAAAGGAGGUCCAGAAGGAAAGCUGACAAACAAGCUAAAAGUUGAUUCAGUAGAAGCACUUUUGCACUUUCAUUGAUGCAUCUUUUAAACUUCAUUGGCAUUCAAAUGCUUUUGCUUUUGCUUUUCUUUAUAAAUUAUAUAUAUUUUUUAAUGAAACCUGAGUUGAUAUUUCAAAAGGUGAUUCAUUCCAUUACGGCUCAAUAUGAGACUAACGUCCCAGGUUUACAAAAAUAAUCACCAAUGCCCCUAUCUUUAGACAAUCGUUUGGCUCUCUUAAUGGUACCCUUGUGAGUUGCGACAUAUUUCUGUUUAAUUUUUAAAACUGUUUCAAAAGUAUACUUUGAUGUUUAUUACAAACAUGCCACACAAUGUUUUUUUAUUCAGAAGUAAUAGUGGUCUAAUCACAAACAUACCCCAAGAUAAAAUUUGAUACUGAGCAAGUUUUUUUCUUGCUCGCAGUCACAGCAUUUUAAAUUUUUCCUGAGUAAUGGCAAGAAUUGAUAUGAAAACUGUAAAUUAGUACCAUAACACUUUUGUUUUCCAUGCAAAUGUUGCUCUUAAGUCAAUAAUCAGCUCAGUAACAUCAACACCGAAUAAGGAGACAAGAGGAGCACCCAAUUCUGAGUUUGGAUAUUUGAGCUAUGCGAUAAUAUGUAGGUAGUGUUACAGAAAAUUAUUUCAAUAGAGGAAAAAAAGUAAGAUAGAGAGAAUAAAUAGAAAUAGACUGCCACAAUCAUGAUAGGCAAAUGCUUUAUUAAAGCAUCCGAAAUUUCAAACGUCACAGAAGAGGAAAAAAAUAUUUGCUUUACAUACAAGUCUUACAGUUUUUUUUCAUCAAUAUCAGCCAUUAUGAUUUACUGCUGGGACUUGAGUUCCUUCACCCUCUCCUCGGUUGCCUUCAGUGCCUUCCCAUAUUUGCUUAUUAACUGAAAGAUCAUAGUAAUUUCAAACAUCAAUUGCCAUCAAUCAUCGUUUACUUAUGGGAAAGGCAAAGAGAAGGUGAAUUAAAAAUUUGUUAAAACCUACCUCAUCAACCUCUGCAGGGGACAUUAUAAAUGGAGGAGACAUCAUAAUGUUGUCACCUGAAACACGUACUAACAUUCCGUGCUUUUCGCACUGUGCUCCAAAAUAUGCACCUAUCCCUGUAAUUCCGAUGAUCAAAUACCAUUAACAACGAAAAUAAGAUGUCAAAUCCAGAAGACACAUGCAUGCAGACAGCUUGAUGUGCAAUUGUGCAUGCACGUAUGGUGUGUUUGUGGGGAGUGUGUGAGUGUUAUUCGUAUAUGCAUGCGCAUUCGUGGUGUGCUUCAUUUGGAGACUAUACGAUAAAAAGGUGAGGAACUUGCCCCAUUCAGGAGGGAACGGUUCAUUUGGAGACUUGUUGUCUGCAAACUCUGUACCAAGAAUCAAACCAGUGCCCCGAAUCUGCAGAAUCAGAUGAGUACAACAGAAAUAAAUAUCUCAUAUUAUGAAUUAUUGCCAACCAAUAUCAAUUCAAGUGAAUGAAAUAAUACCUCUCCAAUGAUGGGACUAUCAGAAAAGGCUUUUACACCAUCUUGAAACUUUGGCGCUAUCUUAUUUACUUGCUCAACAAUAUUUCUUUCCCUGCAAAGAUAUAAGAGAAAUUUCACUUAUUUCUAUAUGUAAUACGAGUGGAUCUGGAUAAUUUAUAUCAAGAGUCGUGACAACUUCAGUCCAUUAAUUAAUUUUUUUCCCAUCUAGUUCCUAUAUGUAAGAAGUGUAAUCAGAUGAUCCUCAUCAGGUCAACCUACUUUUUUAAUUUUCUACAGACGAUCAUAAAAAAACAUACUUGUAAAUCUUAAGCGCUUCGAUGGCAACAGCACAGGAAACAGGAUGCCCAGAAUAAGUAAAUCCAUGAGAGAAAGAACCUGACAAAAAAGGAAUUUGACGGAUCAUUCAAUGAUAAUAACCUCUUGACACUUUUUUGAUGAGCAUGAUUAUCAUACCAAGUGUGUUGCUUUGAGAGUGAAUGACUUCUGAAACUUCGGGACUCACAAGAAUAGCUCCAAUGGGCAUAUAUGCUGAAGAAAGGGCCUAUAAAACAUAAUAUGAGGACAGUGCCCACAGAUGAAAACUGGCUCGGGAUAUGAGAUAGCACUUGUAUAUCCAAUUUUACCUUUGCGAAGGACACAAGAUCUGGUUUAAUGCUGUAUUUGUCACAACCAAACAUUGUGCCAAGUCUUCCAAAUGCACAAAUUACCUAGAAUAUACAAAACUGAAGAAAGUGAGUCUUUAAUUAAAAAAAUAUUAAUAAAAGCUUGAUCAUAACAUAAUAUCAUUAGUAACAUUAGAUUGAAUAGGAUGUACCUCAUCUGCUAUAAAAAGGAUAUCAUAUUUUUUUACAACAGCUUGAACCUGCAUCAAAUUUGAAAUUCUAUAAUUAUAAAAAUGAGUGGUAGAGGGUAGAUAUUUGUCCUACGCUGCAUACCUUUUCUCUUUUGCCAAAAAAAGGGUCAAAAUGCAAAAGUCAUGUCAUAUUGUAUGAAAAAAAAAAUUUUUUAUGGAACAAUGGAAAUUCAGUGGUCAACUUGUACAUUUGUCAACCAACAUAUUUCAUAAUCAAAUUGGUGAACUUUCCGAUGGAUGAUUCUCUAGUUAAGACGUCCGUAUAAUACCAAAUGCAGGCUUGUACAUGUUUGUUAGCAAAUUACUAUCUCACCUUCUCAAAAUAAGUCGCAGGAGGAGGUAUCACGCCUCCUGCCCCCAUGACAGGCUCAGCAAUAAAUGCAGCAAUCUGAAAUAAACAACCGUACAAGUUACUAACUGAGCAACCUUUCAAUUGUUAAAAUUGUUUUCACAAGCAAGCUACAUGCAAACUAAAUUACCGUCUCUGGUCCCUCUUUGAGAAUGAGAUCCUCUAAAUUGUUGGCUAAUCUGGUUGAAUACUCCUCCUCUGUCUCACCUGAAACAAGAAAUUAACAUGCAUAUAUUUAGUAAAAUCAUAAGAAGUCAUUGAAAAUAUAUAAACAGGAGUGAGCAAAAACCUGGAUGAGCGUAGCGCCAAUAAUGAGGGCAGUCAGUGUGCAAUACGAAGGGAGCCGGCAGAUCAAAUUUUUGGUGCAAAGCUGGAAGACUGCAAUGAUAAAUCACUUGUCAAAGGACUCACAGGCUGUAUACAAUAGGUCAUUAGGUAUCACAAUUUUCACUUGUUUAACUUUUCCUACCCAGAAAGACUAGCUGCAAUCAAAGUUGAACCAUGGUACCUGAAAAAAAGUCAACAAUAGCAAAUAAUUAUUCAGGAAUAAUAUGAAAUUAUUGUAAAUCACAUCAAAAUUAGUGGUGAAAUUUACGAUUUUUGUCGUGCGAUAAAUUUCUUUUUGUUUGGUCUUCCAAGAGCAUUAUUGUAAUACCAAACCAGCUUGACCUACAACAUAAAUUAAGACAAGAAGGUAAAACAUCAAAAUUGUCAUCUCCAAUGUCAUUUAAUUGUGACCACAGAACCAGCUUCAAGUAAGAAUGUCCCCCCCUCCCCCCCCCCCCCCCCCCCCCCCCCCCCUCCCCACCCAAAAAAAAAAAAAAAACUUUGUAUUGAGGACAUGAUAAAACAGAAAACAGUGGCAGGUGACCUUUCCUCUGUUCACUUCUUGAUCUUAAUCAUAGUCCAUCACUGUUGACAAAUUCUAAUUCAUUCUAUAUAAUCAUAAUCUCGCUACGAGAAAAUACAAGACAGAUUUCACUGCAGCUUCUUACAUGAGAUAUCUUUAAACUGUCUGCAUGUAAAAAGCAACUGAGAGAGGGAACACUAAGUGCAUGGUAAGUAUACCUGAGUGUCAUUGGCUUCUGAUCCACUAUUAGUAAAGAAAACCUUGGCCAUUUUACUUGCGGUAAACAUUUCUAAAAGCUCCUUUGCAAGAUCCUGUGAGAUCAAAGUUAAUUCAGUUGCCAGUAGAAAGUAACAGUGCAGAUGUCUUCAGAAUAUAUUGAAGCAAGAAAAACAGCAUCAGCUGCUAUAUUUGGUAGGUAGAAAAUGAGAAAAUGAGAGAAUGAUAUAAAGAAAGUAGUAUUGCACAAGAAAGAUGUAAUCCCAGUAUUUGCUUAUAACAAAAUCGAAUCUGUGCAUACCAGAGAAGGUUUUGUGGUACGAUUCCAGAAGGAGUGGUAAAAUGGCAGGGUAUUCAAUUGUGCAGUAGCAGCGGCCACAAGGCGAGGUUCACUCCCCCCUGAAAAUUUCAAUAUUGAAUAGUUAGUUGAAGUAAUGCUCUUUUCGCGAUAGACAAACACAUACUAGAGUUUAGGUAUAUAUAUGUGUCCAUAUAUUGUAUAUAUAUCUCUGAUGUUAAAUAUGUAAUUUUACUACAUUGGAUGAGUGUAAAUUGGUUUUUUCGAAUAUCAUAAAUUUAAGGAGUCUCGGCUUAUAGAAUCUUGCUCUAGGGAGCUAACUCUAGUACUCAAAUAAAAUAAAUUAGUAAUGGUAAAGUCUAAGCAUAACGAGAAAGGAACUAGAUGUAAGCAUUGAAUCUAAUCCUGUGCUUCCCCUGAAGCCAGUCCAACUGAUUCAAGCAGAUUGAUACACAUUCGACAAGAGUGUGAAGAUAUUAUGUGAUGCUGAAAAAAAGGUUGGUGCCGGUGUUAGAGGAGAGAGAGGAAGGUCUAGAUUGAAAUGCAAGACAUGUAAGAAAAUACCUAGGGCUGUGCACCAUAGGCCAGCAAGAGAAUCAAGAUACUUCUUGCCAUUGACGUCGUAAACAUAACUACCCUACAUCAUCGAUGAAGUUGGAGUUAAUCACAUAGUUGAGGAGCAUAUAAGCAAUAGAAUACGAGAAUAGACUUUGGUCACAAAAUACUAUUGCACAAUUUAAAUAACAGGUGCCUAUGAGCUAUACCUCAGACUUUUCUAUAACCAGUGGAUGCACAUCAGUACUCUGCCACCCAGCUGUGAAAGGUGCCAGCAUAUCAUGCCCCUUAAACCUGAGAUCAUGAACAUAUUUCAGCAACCAAAUAUUUAUUCAAAUUCACUGUCAUGCCUGCAUAUAAAAAUCUACAUAGUACUACAUACAGAUUGGACUCACCAAGAUAUUGCUUUAUUACUAUACUGAGCUUUAUAUCACAAAUUACAACCAUACAAUUCUUCCACCAAAAAACACACAACAGCAGAAGCACGCACAUAGAAGCACCACAUACCCCUUAGUGGUUGAAUCUUCCUUUUGCAAAGACGCAUCUGUACCAUAGAACCUGGCAAGCAAAGGGAUUUGAUACAAGUUCUCCGACAACCUUUUGGAAGCAGAAAAAUGCUUUGUAAAUGAACCAGUCUGUAAACCAAAGGAAAAAGAAAAAAAAAACUAUUACGAUUAAAAAAGUAAUAGUGAAUAGUUUGUACUGCUCCAAUAAGUUUUUUAUGUUAUAUAUGCACAGAUUCAUCUUCAUGAAUGAUAUUUAUAAUAUAUAUGACAAAAGGUGAAGAUUCUCUUCACUUUUUAGAAUGACAUGGGAAAAGUGAACCUUUUAGAAUGACAAAAGAUUAAGGGAGAAAAAAAAAAAAAAACUGAUCAGCCCUAUUAGUAAAUUAAGAAACAAAAUAUAGUAACAAAACAACAUUAGUAACCCAAAAAGAAAAAAAAAAUCUGAAUUUGAAAAGUUCCCAGUACAUAUAUUGAUCUAUAUAAAGCAAGAAUAUGAAGUCCUCAGAGACAGAAAAGCAGUCUAAAACUGAAAAAUAGGCCAAAUGGGUGAUAGGAUUUGUUUAUAGUUUUGCAAACAAGUAGCUCCUAGUGAAGAUCAAAAGAUGUAAAAUACAUAAUAUUCAUUAAAAAAAAAAAAAGACAUGGUGGUAACUGAUAAAAUUCAAUUUUCGCGAUGAAAGUGAAACCUGGGAUUUGAGGGAUGAUUGAAGGAGCUUGCUGGUCACCAUUUUUGCUCUUAACAUGCAACAAAGGCGGAGUUUUUUUUUUUUUUUUUUUUUCCCGGUUUUAGCUGUUCUUAUUGCUCAGACACAAGCAAUAGCUGAAAGAGUGAGAAUCUGAGACGACUCCUUAAUGAAUCAUUAUAUGGUUUGAAUAAGGAUUUAAUUAAAUUUUAUGAAUCAUUAUUUGGUUUAAAAAAGGAUUUAAUGAAAUUAAAUUUGAUUGCGUUAUUUCAGUUUAACCGCGGUUCGAUUGGAGUGACAGUUACCACUUUAACUACACUACAUAUUGGUCCCACCACUAUAUCCAGAUUAAGAGAUGACGAAAUCAACGUUUUUUUUUUAUAUAUUUUAAUUUUAAACUAGAGACAAAGUUAGGGUGCAUUUGGUAUCGGCUUUCACUUGUGUUUUUAUUUUUGUUUUAUAAAUUGGAAAUAAUCAGUUUUUAAUGAAAAUAAAAAUAUAUUUGGUUGAUUGUUUCUAAAAUGAUAUUUAAAAAUAAAAAGUAAAAAUUUAGAAAAGUGAAAAAAAGUAUUAUAAUUAAAAAUUUUAAUAAACUAAAUUUUUUAGACAUUAUAUAUUUUAAUUUUUGUUAUCGUAAAUUUUUUAUUUUAUAAAAAUGAGACAAAAUAUAUAUUUUUUAGAGAAUAUAAAAUUUCUUUAAAAAUUGUUAAAAUAAUACAUUAUCAUUAAUUCAUUAUAGCAAAAAGAAAAAAAAUUAAAAUGAUUAAAUAAAUAAUAAAAUUAUAUUAUAAAGUAAAUAUUGGUUGUGGAUCCACAUGAUAAGGGAUAGGUUUUUUAUUUUCUUAUUAUGCAAGUAAGUAGGAUUGUGGAAACUCAUUUGAAGAAUGAAAAUUGAAAAACAUCAAUUUUUUGUUCUCUACUUUAGAGAAUGAGAACAAAUCAAUUUCUAUGAUCAGGCUACAGUGCAACUGUGGCACCGUGCCACAGUUACAUCUAGCCGUUGAUGCAAUUGGAUUGGUGGAGUCCACUAACAUCCAACGGCUAGAUGCAACUGUGGCACGGUGCCACAGUUGCACCUAAGGUUUCCCCCAAUUUCUAAUAGAAAUAAUAAAUAUUAUUUAAAAAUUAGUGAACCAAACAAAUUUUAGGACAAAAACAAUAGUAACAUAUUCAACGUAGCAGUACGGACACAGAGUAAUUAAUGACUCUAUUAGCUGAGCUGAGGGACAAAACUAUGAUUGUAAUUUAUAUUUUAAAUAGCAUUUUUGUUUAGUUAACUUUCUGAAAAAAUUAUGUCUCAUCAAGAAUUUUGUAAAUGCUAAUUGCAAAAAUUUAUUCCUCACACACACACACAACUCAUCUUUUAUAAGCAUCAUCAGUCAUCACAUAGGGAUAAGAAAAGAAAAAGUCAACCCUAAAAAUACAAAUUAUAAAUUCACAUGAUUACUUAUUAUAUAUCACACAAAUUAAUCAAAUUUAUUUGCUUUUACACUCAAUGUGAUACAAAAAACAUUUUAGUUUAGUUUAUGGCGAUCACAAAAUUAAUUAAUGUAAUUGCUAAUCCCAACUGUACAUGCUUAAUCAAUACGAUCACCGUGUUGACGAGCAAGGACAAUAACAAAUUGAACACUUCUUUUUUGCCUUUAUUUGAAGAAAACAAAUUGAUAUCUUAAACCACACACACAGUAAAAAAAAGGACUUGAUGAUCUUGAUAAUGUAAUUUAAUGUAUGUAAACUAGUCAUUCGAUCAUAGGAUAAUAUUAUUCAAAGCAAAUGCAGAUGAUCUGGAAACGACACUAUUCAAUGUUAACAGAGAAAUGUAACAGCUACCCAUCUAGAACAGUGGAAUAAGAGACUUGCAUUAAGAAUCAUCUGAAAAACUGCUACCAUCCAUGAAGCUCAGUUUCACCUAGAGAAUAAAAAGAAUCUCAUUUACAGACUUCUUCUAAAGCCGACAUGUCAUCUCACGAAGAACAUUGAACUGCUUGAACCUUGCAACACAAUUGUAUUAGCAACGGUUUAAAACUGGAUUAGUACUGAAUGGUUCCAGGGGUCAAGCAGCUCGAUAGAAGAUUUCCUCAUCUUUCACUUCCUGUUAACUAAUCAGCACAGACGAUUUCAGGAAAAAUUUAUGCACAUGCUAGAUGUUUGAGUUUUAGGUCUACAAACCAGACCCAGAUGCAGGAUUGUGACCAGAAGAACCCCCUGGAGUGAAUACAGGAAGCUGGUUCGAGGCUGAAUCCCUUUUGAAUCUGGAUUCUCGAGACAAGUGGAGUGCAGUCCUCUCCUGGUUCAAACUCCUGUCAUUUCUUAAAUUAUCCCUAACCGGGACACUCAAAAGUGGACCACCAAAGAAAAUAGAGUCUCCUGUGUACAUCAGCUUUUCUGCUUGCUGCACUGGAGCCCUUGGUGCUGAAGAAGAAGACUCAUGUGAUGGAAUAACUGGCCUUCUACUUUGACUGCUAACUUGUGCACUAGAAGAUGGCAAUCCUAUUUGCAAGGAUGAUCUGUUUCCAACAUCUGAUGCUGAUAUUGGAACCGAUACAUACCUCCCAGCUUCUUGGUCCCAAACAACAGAAGUCCUUUUGACAUCUCUAAGAAGAGAAGCAGCAGGAGCUGACAGCAGCAAUGGAUCAGUUACACCUCCCUUUUGCAUUAUCUUUUCGUCAAAUCCAGAUGAAGUGUGGGUAACUGAGAGGUUGUUGGUGCUAGGAAAUGGUGCCUUUGAAGUUACUGGACGAUCAGGAAUGCCAGGAACUGAGGUGGCUGCACUAAUACGAUUCAAAGGAUGAGCUUGCGGCAGAGGACUAAGAGUGACCGACUCAUGGAUGUGGCUUGGACUGCUGAAGCUGCUCAUACUUUGAGUCCCAGUUUCAUAUUCAUCCCGGCUACCUUGACUGGGGGCACAUGAAUUUCUCACAGGUGACAAUCUCAUCUCAUUCUUGUUCCCUUUAUUUGCUCCCAUAUCUGUGCUAACACUACUUCGGACACUCAUAUUGCCACUGGAGCUAAAUUCUGAAUCGGGAUGCCGAUUAUCAACAGGCCGUAAAACAGACGAUGAUGCCCUGGCCUUGGCUGCAGCCCUCAUGGCCUCACUGGAAUCUAACUUUGCAAGCUUCCAAGCACUAAUACGAACAGAUCUUUUGGGUACCUUUUGCCCUCUUUCUGCAACUCCAGCUGCAUCUGGAUCAACAGUUGAUGGAACCAUUCCAGGCUCCAAGUGGGGUACAACUUCAUCCUAACGAACACCAUAUUCAAAACAAAAGUGUUAAUACCAUUCAAUCACACUUGAAAAGUUUGCUUCAAUGUAUAAAGUUAUGGGCACAGAAGGUUUGUAACACCUGAUAAUCGACAAAUACCCUAGGAGGGGUACACCAACCCCCCUUAUACUGCAGGCCCAGAGAACUUCCACCACUUACACCAGUUGUCGCAGAUCCCGACGGAGAGUAUAGCACAUUUGGCAGUUCCUCAUCCACAGAUGCUCCAGCAGGCGCCUCACUCAUUGCUCUCAUUGCUACAACAUACUCAUAGGUCGUGAUACCCUAAAUCCAAUAUAAAAAUCAAAAAUCAAAUUGAAAAUUUUAGAUUACCACAGAAAUUGUCCCUUGCCUCUCUAUAAUCUACUAGUCACCUCAUUAUUUUUCCUUUCCAAUACUCCAAUUAAUCACCAAAUGGAAGAAGAUUAAUGACCCAAAUUCAGUCAGAUAUUUUCAUAAAAUUCCAAACAACUCAUCCAUUUUCCAACUGACCAAACAGAGCACAAGGGAAAUGAUAGCAGUAUGAAGUUUCUUAGUCACUGACCUUUCUGAUGAGUAUCAUGUGGAAAAAGAAGAGUUCACCCAGAGGUAUACAAGCAAGCAUAGAAACCGCGGUACAGAUAGCCUGCAGAAUUUAUUCAGCAUUAGCACAGUAUUUUCGCAAGUAAAUGUAAUUAAUCAUUAGACUUGUCUCACACAAUAUGUACCACAACAGUUGCAAAUGGAGCACGAGAGAAACCAUCUCCAAGUCUGUCAAUAAUUUCAGUCUCCAUGCUCUUCUUAUUAACAAAGCAACGCACAAGGACAGCAAUACCAACACCUGCUUCAAUAACAAGCUGAAGCACAGAGAUAUUGAAAGAUGAUCAGUAUUGUGAAGUAAAAUCUAGUCAAAUGAUAAAAUAUUAGACUGCACAUACCCAAACAAGACUGAUGGCCAUAAGUGAGAUAAAAGUCACAUAAUUUUUGUGUCCCACACAAUUGUUAAGCCACUGCAGCCAUAAAAUAUUUUGAGGUCAAGAUCCAAUUUUAAAAGAAAGAGUGAGGAAGAAACAACUAGAUGAUGCUUAAUCCAAAACAAAUUGAGAUAAUCGAAGAUAAGUGCUUGUAAAGAGCACUUGGAACAACAUGAAGAUAUACCCGGCAGUGAUGAUCAAAACCGUCCACACAUUUAUCACAACUUCGGCAAUGUUUGCUGAACCUGCGAACCUGCAGCCAGGAAGGCUUUCGUGUCUAUUUAAGAAUUCCAAAUCAACAUGAGGUAUCCCUCAACUAGAGAUCAAGAAUUCCAAGACAAGAAGUGUUUCACGGUUCAUAUAAAUGGCAAAAGUAGCACAAGUCCAAUAAAAUAUUCAAGGGGUAAGAAUCUAAUAGAAACAUCAAUCAAAUGAAUCAGUAAGGGUGUGAAUAUUAAUCUCUGUCUGUUAUAAUACAAGAUAAGCAAUAUAUGGUCCUACUACACUAAUAUAUUUGUUAUAAAGUAAUGUGGGUGUCAGCUAGUUCAGUUGGAAAAAUCUCGUGUUAAUACGAAAGGUCUGGAGUCCGAACCCUGCUCACAUGGUGGCGAGGGAAUUUAAUUGCUAGUCAUGCUAUGAUUUAAAAUGAUGUAAAGAAAACAAUGUUACACCUCAGCAUUGCAUAGUGUGCAGAACAAUGCAUCAUCGCCGUUGCCCUGUUGCUCAGCUACUGCUUCCUCUUUACGGCAAUCUUCACGAACAAAUAAUGCACAGAAGAUUCUUCCAUUGAUAUUGCAGGAUUUUCUGGUUGCCGGUUUUCCUGGUAUGUCUGCACCACCCAUAUCCCCUACUGAGCCUUUCUUACUAGAGUUAGCCGCUGCUAGGGAACUUCGGGAAACCGAUGAUGGGGAAGAAUGUGGCACAUUGCCAAAUUCAUUAAAUGCUCUAUCCAUGUCCACUGAUGGUAACCUAGGAUUUCUCUUAGUUUUUUCAGUCCCCUUUCCAUCAAAUUUAGACAUUAUGCCAGGAUCUGCAGGGUUAAUUGCUGUACACCUGACAUAAAGAAUGAAUACAAGGAGUGCCUGCAAUGCCACACCAACAAUACAGGGGAUAAUAAAUGAAGGCCAGGUUUCUUUGUGCAGAAAAGAAAACAUAUGUCUAUGAUCAUGCUACUGAAAAAGCUCCUGAAAUAAAUCCAUUUUUCUUCAUUUGGGCAGAAACAAAAAAUUAUAUUUUCACAUUGAUCAACUAUAUUUGUGUAUUUUGCGCUUCAAACACAAGACAGUUUCACAUCUGAUGAUCAUCAUCCACUAUUCAUCUAGAAAAGUCGUGUAAAAUGUAUAAGCUGAAAAAGCACUAUCAUAGACCAUAGUUAUCAAACCCAUAUGCGCCGGCUGGUCCUCAAUUUGUUCUUUUAUCAAGGAACGGGAGGAAACUGGGUGAACCACAAAUUUCCAUUAGGAACAGUUUAUCCAGGUUAGACUGCCAGCCUUUUUCUCGUGUGUGUGUGCGUGUGAAAGAGAGAGAGAGAGAGAGAGAGAGAGAGGAUGCCUUAAUAAGAAUAGAACCUUGUUGUCAUACAUGGAAUGAACAGUCCCAACUACCAAUCCUCAUUUUAAGUUUACACAGUAGACAUUGAUCUUUUUGAUUUUUCUGUUUGAUAAUCCAGAAACCUCCCGGUGUUGCUCUGGUUUGAGACUUGCGACUGGUGCAACUUUUAUGCCAUUUCACAAGUAUACAAUAAUAAUCUUGAACAUAUUAAAAUAGUAAUUUAAAGGGAACUCACAUACCACUGGUGAAUAAGUAGCAAACAAAGCAUAUUCCCAGAUGUGGCCUCCAAGGAAAGGAGCGAAGAAAGCAUAGAAUGCGACUACUAACAAGCAAAAUACAGUAAUUGCAACAACCUACGAUGAUAAUAUCAAAAGAAAGCAAUGUCAGCUCAAACAAAUGGCAUCACCAGAAUAUAAAGGUUGAAAAAUCAUCAAAUGCCACUUUGAUAGAUAGUGCUACUGUUUCUCUGUUUAUAAUACUAGGGCCUCUGCGUGGCAUACAAAUAUCCAGCAUGUUAAUACUUAAUCCUUAUCAUGGAUACUAACUCCUCCAUUACAACAAUAGUCUAGUUCAACAACACAGAGAAUUCCUACCACAAGCUUCAACGAAAGUAACCUGUAAAUCUCAAUAUAUAAAAUUCAGAAUUGUUCAUUUCUUUCCCUCAGUUAGCAAACAGUAAACAAGUUAAACAUUUCAAUUCGGUACUGAUGGUAGAAUUACAGAAACCAAGAAAUGAGUAAUACCCUAAAUCCUAACAUUAAGAUUGUACCAGUAACGUAUUGCACAGAGCACAAGAACAGAAUUGCAACCAUAACGCAUAUCCAACACUAUUCACGGAACAAGUUCAAAUGCAGGAUAGAAAACCUUAAUUGCAGGACUUAGUUUUCUUGAGUGUUAAAAAAUAAUAAGACUUGGGGUAGGUUUGUAACUGUUUGUACUUCUACAUAAUUUUGAAGGCAUAACCGCAAAAGCAUUUGGUAAACAGCCAUUUAUAUUUAAUGGUUAGUGAUUCCAUAGCGAAUGCUGAAUUACAGCUUACAAGCCGCAAACAAGUGAACAACCCCCAAUCCAAAACAUAUCUGAAGUACAACUUGGUGAAAUUUGAAACCAAGCAAAAUGUAAACAAGAGCUAAAACCCAGCUCCAAAAUCAAGCAACAAGAAAACUUAACACACACAAUUGAGCACAAAGAAAUAUCCCUUAAAAAUAAACAACAAAAUAUAGAACAAAUGAGAACCCACAUUUAAACAAUUUUGAAGAGAAACCCAGAUUAGGCAACCAUUGACUUAAAUACAAAGAGAAGUCAAAAUUUAAGUAAAAAAGAAUCUCACAAAACAGAGUGAUAGUAUAGCGUAAAAUACCUGAAACGUGUGUGCAGGUAGUUGCCAUCCAUGUUUUCUCACCAUAACUGUCAAAAUUCUCCCACCUUAAAACCCACAGAAACCCUAACACACACAGUGAACCUAGAAGAGACAGACAGAAAGAGACACAGUAAAUUGAAGUUCCCACUUCCCAGUUCGGCACUUCCCCCUGUAAAGCAAAAAAAGCAAAAAUGAUAAACACAUAAUAAAUAUUAAAAAAAAAAAAAGAUAAAUGUCACUAAUGAAAUGAGUAGCUGAUAGUCUUACUUGUCCAGCAUUUAAAGAAAUAAUAUAUAAAAAUAAAAUAAAAUAAAGGAUACCCCGAUAUAGAGGUUAGACGAAAGCAGAGAAGUAGUAGUCCAAAGAAAGAAACAAAAACCAAGUGGAAAGGGUUGAAAGGAAAAACACGAACGACAAAACAAAAGAAAGACGUUGACGAUAUUUAUUUAUUUUUAAUAAUAAAUGGGGGACACACGGUUUUAUCAAAUUUGUUAGCGUUGGACGUGUUCGUGUUUACUUGCGUUUUGUGCAUUUCGUAACUUUUUUUAAAAAAAUAAUUUUUAUGAGUAUUUUUUUUUCCCCUCGAUAGAAAAUAAGGAUGGUAAAAAUUCCUAGGGAGAUGGAUAUUUUUGGGAAUUUUUUUUUAUUCGGGAAAAAUAUGGGUAUAAUUUCAUAUUUAAUUUUUUAUUUAGAAAAGAGAUGGGAAAUUUUUUUUACUCAAUUUUUUAUUCGGGGAGGGGACGAGGAUGAGGUGGAAUCCCCAUCCCCUACCCAUUUCUCCAUUUUAAUUUUUAAUUUAAUUUUUAUUUUUUAAAAUUACUAAUAAAUAAAUAAUAAAAAAUUUGAAUUAUAAAAUUAUAAGUAUUGGUAAAAAUAAAAAAUUAUCAAAAUAUUUAUAUUAUUAAAUUUUUAGGCCUAAUUAACUAAUUAAAGUCCUAAAUUUUUAUUUAGGACAUUAAAAAGACCGGAUAGAUUCUAUUAGCCCAAAAUUUUUGUUUUAAUUUUAAUAUUCAUUAAAUAUUUUAAACUUAAAUCUAUUUUUUAUUUAUCUUAAAUCUAUUUUUUAUUUAUUUUUAGAUGUUAUAAUUGACCACAUCAAAUCACAAUUUUAAUAUCUAAUCUAAUCUAAUACAAUAUUUGCUCUUGAUUUACUUCGACUUAACUAUUGUGUUGUAAAGGGAAUAGUCCACAUUUAUAAAGUGCUCACGCCACUAUUAAAAAGUUAAUUUUGAAUCUAAAUUUGAUUUUAUUUGUAAAAUUUUGUAUUAGGCUAUUAAUUUAUUCAUGAUAAUUUGUAUCACUUGCAUGCUGCGUUACUUACUAAUUUAAUGUAUGUGACUUUUGUAAUGGAUAUUAAUGUAAGAUAUAUUUCGAACUUUACUUUUGUUUGAAUUUUUUAUUUUAAUAUGAUUAACUCAAAAUCGAAAAUAAAAAAAAUGUAUUAGUUAUUCGGGGAUCGGAGAUCCUCGGAGAUCCCCUAUUAUUAUUCAGAGAGGGGAUGGAGAUUCUCUUAAAUAAAUUUAACGAGAAUGGAGAGGGGACAGAAACAUACGCAAAUUAUUAAAGAUAGGUAUAGAAAGAUUGGUCCCCUUCUCUCUCCUCCCCAUUGCCAUCCCUAAUAGAAAAUAUUUGGAAUCUGCUUUUUGUUUUGGUCCAAAAACGGGUUGUGGUUUUAUGUCCCCACCAUAAUUAUUUUCACAUUUACCUUUUUUAGUAUGGUCCCCAGCUGUUACGAUUAGGCCCAAUGGGCCCAUGAGAUGCAGUUCAAUAGUGUAGUUAGAAUGUUAGGUUGCACUGAUUUUAUUUAAUUAAUAAUAUUUUAAGUUUCGCAAUCUUUAUAUCAAAAUCGAGUGUCUUGCUAUAUGUAGCUUACAUUGUCUGAAAAUUAUUUUAUUUUAUUUUUUUACAAGACUCAAUUGUCAGUUAAUUCAAAUAAUUGCGGAAUUAUGAGAGACUAAUUUUGGGUCAAUUGUAAGUCUGUAUAUUUUAAGUCUUUAUAAGAACUCAAAUAUUUUUUCUCCUCGUAUAAAUAUAAGUGAGAUCGAUAUUUUCUUAAAUUUAGUGGAAGAAGAUUUCCUUAAUAUAGCAAAUAAUUUAUCCCCAAUCUUUAGACUUGUAAUUAUGCAUUCUAGUUGAUGAAAUAAGACAAAUAAAGAAGAUAAAUUUUGAUAGAGUAAAAGAGGGUUGUGGUGAUUAAGGGUGAGAAGUGAGAGUAGAUGGCGCUAUUUUUUCGAUUGAGAGUGGAGAGCCGCGUGCGAGAUUUGAGAGACACGAAAAUCAUUUUGUUAACGAUUUUUGUUAAUGUUUUAAUAUUAAUUUGCCCCUACUACAAAAAUAUAAUUUGUAAAAUUGAGGGUGAGACUAUUUAAAUUCACUAAUUUACUUUCUACAAUCUCUUUUUAGUUAAAAAUUUUAUUAUAUAAAUAAUAUAAGAAAAAAUUACUUAAUUAAUUCUUUAUUCUCUUUCUCUUCUCAAUUUGAUAAACUCUCGUUAAUUCAUUUAGAUAUAUUCUUUUAAAUACCAGCUAAUUGACACCAUUAACCAAGAGGAUCAAAACUCACCAUUCAAAAAUGAACAUCAAUUAAUUUUAUUUGCCAUAAAAGUUAGUGAAUAUAUAAAUUAAUUUUACCAAUCACAAAAGCUAAUGAAAAUCAAGAAAAUUUUUUCAUAUAUAUAAAAAGAACAAAAUAGAGUUCAUCAUGUACUAAGAAAAAUAACAAAAAAAUAAAGAAUUAAAAAAAAAGUGAAAAUGAGUGUUUAAUUUUAAUAAUUAAUUGUUUUUUUUUAAAUGGGAGUAAAGUCGAAUUUGGUAGGUUUAAAAUAGCCCCGCCCUAAAAUCAAUUCAUUAUAAUAUUUUUAUUUACAAAAUUGUUCCUAAUUAUCCCAAAAAUUAACAUGAAAUUUUAGCAAUGUUUUUUUUUCAAUAGGGUCAAUCAUCCUCAAUACCCGGCAAGUUAGAGCUAUCCUAAUUAGGAGCUCAUCUCUCAACCAAGUGAUACAAGAGCCAAAUCCUAGUAGUCGGAAUGCAUUGUUGGAAUAACUUAAGUGUGUUGGAUAAAUGAAUGAAAGUUCAAUGGUAGUUUUGUUUGAAAAGAGAUAAUUAUUGAGGUGUGUUUUACAUUGACAUUCAAAAGACUGUCACUUAGAUUUACAAGUAUCUAAAUUUUACAUGAAUGAUGUAGGGCAAAGGCUGAAUGAUGUAGUGGCAGUACCACAUUAGGACUAGGGGAUUGAAGCCCAACUUGACUUUUUAAAAGUUACAAAUUUAAUUAGAUAUUUAUCCUAUUUUAAUUUGAUUUACCAUAAAAUCCAUGCUAAAGUUAUAGAAAUAACCAACUAUUAAGUAUUUAUUUUUACACUUCCAACCCACUAAGAAAAUUUGUUAUUUUGAAGUUCCUCGGGCCUAACUCUCCUCACACACACCAAAAAAAAAAAAAAAGAAAAGAAACUAUUUUACCUUACUGUGUUUAUCCAAAUAAUUUUUCUUUAAUGGAUCUUAUGACACUUAAAGUUCAACUUAAUGUAUAUAUUAUGGAGUGGGUUCUGAUAAAAAAAUUUCAAAAUUGAAAGGGAUUGAUAAACUAUCAAGAAAAAUAAUUAAUACUAAAAAGGAUAAAUUGUAUUCAUUAAUUUUUUUAUUGAUUUUAUUAGUUCUCAUAACUAUAGUAAAAAAAAGCAUUUUCAGCUAUUAAUUUUGUGAAAAAUCAUUUGCGAAAUCAAAUGAGAGAUCAAUGAUUGAGUGAUAUUAUUGUUGUAUAUAUAUAAAAAAGAAUUAUCUUGUAUUCUUAAUGAUAAAGUUAUUCUUCAACAUUUUUAAUAUAUGAAAGCAAGUCGAGGUCAGCUACAAAUAUAUUGAAUUGAAUAUAUUAAUAAAUUUUUAUUUUAAUAUUUGUUAUUUAUUGAAAAAAAUUUAAAUUAUAUUAUUAUUUAAAUUUAGCUUCCGUUAGAUUAAAUUCUUGGCAUCUCCACUGGUACAACGUAUCAAACUUUUCUUCAUAUGGAAAUAAACUUUUUGCGACGAUAUGAUAAUUUGUAAAGGAGUCAGUUUAACCUUUAUGCUCCUAAUUUGUUUUUAAAAAAAAAUCAUUUAUCGACUUAAAGAAUGAUUUAGACCAUUUUAAUUACGAUCUGAAAGCCAACAGACCAAUUACAACAAAUAAAUUAAAAUAAGCCUCUCAUCUCAAAGACAUACAUUCUCACAACUACAGUUAAUUAAUCACAAAGGAGCGUGUGUUCAUUCAAUUAACAACAGCCGCGUGUGAAGCCAUUUUAGUCUUAAAAAAAAUAAUUAAAUAAAAAGUUGCAAGUCCUGUCACUGCUCCGAUGUGGAUGCCAGCAAGGCCUUUUAACACGCGUCACACGCGCCAAGGACAGUUCAAUGUUCCUGCCCGCUGGGGCGUGCUCAUCUGACAUCCCGCGACUCUCGGGUCCCGCCACCCAUAAUCCCGUACCAUGCACGUUCAAUUCAAAUUACCAGACUGCCACCGAAGGUAAUCGACACGCGCGAGGCGUGUGUGAGGCGAGUGGGGAAACAAAAACAGGAAACGAGAGUCAGAUUGGGACAAUUGACGAUACGAAACCCUAAAACAGAGCGAAAAAUUUGGGGCCAAAAAAGCAAUCGCCACUCGCUCUAUCCCCUCGCGUGAGAAAUUUCUUGGUUUUGCUCUCCCAGACAGAUCGAAGCCGAAGCGCUAGAGGUCGAAACAUUCACUUUCUUUCUCUCUUUCAUUGCAAAAUUCUUCUCAAUUUUUGAAAUCCUCCUUUCAUAAUCCGUAGAACUCGAGCUUUAUUUUUCUUUUUUUCUUUUUUCAAUUUUUUUGUGAGAUUCUUUCUGGGUGUUAUUUGUUGUUAUUAUGUUAGGUGAAAUUACCAAUAUGGCUUGGAAAAGCUAAUUAAUUGAUUGAAACAGCUCAGCUCAGCUCAUCUAAGCUUGACUGCUAUUGUGCUUGUGCUUUAAAUUUAGUUUGAAAUGUAAGAAGAAAUAGACAAACAUUGGGUUCAGUAGAAUCAUUACUGUUUUUUUUUUAAGUUUAGGUUCUUAAGCAAAUUGAGCUGUGCUUGAAGGGCUUUAUAAAGUUUUGGACCAGCUGUUUGGAGUAUAAGUUUGGAGCUGAGGUGUGAAUGUACUUGAAUUUGGUAUUGCUGAUGAAAAUAAGAAUAAAUGAGCUAAAUUAAUCCACUUAGUAUUAGUUGAAAGCUAAAUGUGUUGUUGGGUUGCAUGAUUUGAAACAAUGACCCUGAAAUUUGUCCAUUUUGUUUACUCAACGUGCUAAAAGUCUACAUAACGAGUUGCCUUUCUCAAUGCUUGCACGUGUUAAGAUAGGAGUAAUUGCUUUUAUUUUGUGAUUAUCAAGGGCAGCAGAAAGUGAGUAGUUGUUAUUUGUCUUGCAUAUUAGGUAACAUUAAGUGCAGCGGAUAUUUUGUUCGAUCUUUCUGGAUUCUACUAGAAAGAAUUGGUGAUUUGAUGGAUAUUUAGGCUAUUGUCUACUUGGUGCUCAUAUUGUCUGAAACAUAUGAAUUGUAAGUUGAUGCUCUGGAUAGGUAGGAAAUAGACAGAGGUUGUCACUUAGUGCAAGAGGCGAAAAAAUGACAUCCCAUAUUUUAUUGUUCCUAGAAUUGAAGUAUAUGAUAAUGAAUGGAGUAAUUACUCAAGGGGACUUUGUUACUGGUUUCACGACUUCAUUGCUGGGCUCAAUCUUCAUUCGUCGACUCAGUAAGUAAUUGGGAUCCUUAGUAGCUUGUAACUGCUGUAGCAGAAAUCUUGCCAAGAGCGCUGACUUGUUUAAGGAUGGUGUUCCUAUGCAUGUAGAAGUUGAUUUUAAUGGUAUUAGCUAUCUGAGAAUUUUGAUCCUAGAAAAUAUUUAUGAUCGUCGGUGGCUAUGUAAAAACUAAUAAUUAUUCUUUUUUCUAAUAAAAAGUGCUGUGUGUGUCUCUUGGUGUGCUUCAAAGAUUUUAUUGCCUUUUCCAGGGUCAUCUUGGUAUUGAAAUGAUCAACUCCUUUCACACACAGCAGUUUUGGUUGAUAUAUGUGUAUAUACAUUUUCUUUCAGAAAAAUAGGAAAUAGGCAAUAUGUUACAGUUCAUGAGAACUCCAAAAUAAGAUGGCAGGAGGUAGUUGUAAAGAUCUCAUUUUACAGAAAUGUGUUUUGGUAAGUUAUGCAGAUUUGUUGACAAACUUUGCAUUAUUUGCGAGUGCACUUAUUGGAGAUUUUGUUGCUGAUCAAACACUAAAUAAUUUGAUUUUUUAUUUUUUAUUUUUGGGUUCGUUUUGACCUAAUUGGGCAGCCUUUUUGCUUCCCAUGCUUCCUUCUGCCUUGGGUAUUUGGAGGCAAAGCUACUUUCUGCUGCUUAAAAGCUCAGCCAUUUUAAAUCAUGUCAAAUUAGCAAUUUUUUGUGAUGUUAGAUCUUCCUUUGAGUCAAUUUGGUAAGUUAAUUGCAGACUCAUAAUGUUUUGACCUUUUUCCAUAAAGUAUAUAUUUAUAUGUUCUGGAGCUCCAAACUACUAUGCUGAUUUUUUCUUUAUUAUCACUUUUUAAGAUUAAAUUUUAAUUGAUUGCAACGGAUUUUAAAAUGUAGCGCAUGCUCUUUAUGUUGCUUUUAAUGUUACCUUUUUAAAUUAGGAUGUAUUUGUUGUCAUAUUUCUAAAAUACGCCUUUAUGUAAUAAGUAAUAUGUGAUUCGUUUUUCAUAAAUGACUGAGAUGGAAAAAUGGGUGUUGGGCUGGUGAGAAGCUUUUAUGAUUAUAAUUUUAUGGUUCAGAAAGUGGAAAUUUGUUUUGUUGAGCAAUGUAUGAUUUGAUAGCCAAUGAGUGCAGUGGAACACUGUUUUACCAGUGUGUUCGAAUUGGCACAAAGUAGACUGAAGUUUGAUUACAGACAGAGCUACAUUUAAAUUAAGCAAUCCAGAGUUGGAAGUUCUUAGUGCUUUAUUAUAUUUUUCAAUUGCUUGGUUGGCAUUCGUCACUUUUAAUUUUUUUUACCUAUUCAGUAUUUGCACAUCUGGAGACUUGCUAAAAUUAACUGUGAUUCUCAUUCUUAUUGAUUCUAUUGUGGUAGGUUGGAACAUCUAAUGUACAUAAUGCAUACAUGUUUCUUCUCCUACUUUCAGGUGUCCUUGGAACAUAGUUUGUAGAGUAACAAAAUUUUCAUCAUGGACAUAGAUCUUAGGCUACCUUCGGGUGAACAAACAAAGGAAGAGGAAGAACAUAAUGGGAUUGACAACAUGUUAGAUGGUGAAGAGAAACUGUCACUGCAUAAUGGUGAGAUAGAGAGUGGAAACAUUGUAGUUGCUGAUGAGGUACGUGCAGAAGAUGGCGGUGGUGUGAAUUCUCCCACAGAAGAAAUGGUAAUGUUCAAAGAGGAUACAAAUCUCGAGCCACUUUCUGGUAUGGAAUUUGAAUCUCAUGGUGAAGCAUAUUCUUUCUAUCAAGAGUAUGCUCGGUCUAUGGGAUUCAACACUGCGAUUCAAAAUAGUCGCCGUUCAAAAACAUCAAGAGAAUUCAUUGAUGCAAAAUUUGCUUGUUCUAGAUAUGGAACUAAGCGAGAGUAUGAUAAGUCCUAUAACCGCCCUCGUGCCAGACAAAGCAAACAAGACCAAGAAAAUGCAACUGGUAGACGGUCAUGUGCAAAAACAGACUGCAAAGCAAGUAUGCAUGUGAAGAGAAGGCCAGAUGGAAAAUGGGUUAUUCAUAGUUUUGUGAAGGAACAUAACCAUGAACUUUUGCCAGCACAAGCUGUGAGUGAACAAACCAGAAAGAUGUAUGCUGCAAUGGCCAGACAGUUUGCUGAGUAUAAAAAUGUAGUUGGUCUGAAGAAUGACCCCAAAAAUCCAUUUGAUAAAAGUCGGAAUUUGGCACUGGAAGCAGGAGAUGCCAAGAUUUUGCUUGAUUUUUUUACACAGAUGCAGCAUAUGAACUCCAACUUUUUCUAUGCUAUAGAUCUGGGUGAAGAUCAACGGUUGAAGAAUUUGUUCUGGGUUGAUGCCAAAAGUAGGCAUGAUUAUAAUAAUUUCUGUGACGUUGUGUCUUUUGACACUAUGUAUGUUAGAAACAAAUAUAAAAUGCCUCUUGCUUUAUUUGUUGGUGUGAACCAACACUAUCAAUUUGUGUUGCUUGGAUGUGCAUUGAUAUCAGACGAAAGUGCAGCAACGUUCUCAUGGCUAAUGCAGACUUGGUUGAAAGCAAUGGGAGGACAGGGUCCGAAAGUAAUUAUUACUGACCAAGACAGGACCAUUAAAGCAGUUGUUUCAGAGGUCUUUCCUGAAACUCGUCAUUGCUUUUGUUUGUGGCAUGUAUUAGGGAAGGUUUCCGAAAAUCUCAGUCAUGUUACUAAACAGCAUGGAAACUUUAUGGCAAAGUUUGAAAAAUGCAUCUAUAGGUCAUGGACAGAAGAAGAGUUUGGUAGAAGGUGGUGGAAACUUCUUGAUAGAUUUGAACUUAGAGAGGAUGAAUGGAUGCAGUCAUUGUACGAAGAUCGGGUACACUGGGUGCCAACCUACAUGAAGGAUACCUUUUUAGCUGGAAUGUCAACUGUUCAGCGAUCUGAGAGUGUAAACUCCUUCUUUGACAAAUUUGUGCAUAAGAAGACCUCUGUGCAAGAGUUUGUGAAGCAGUAUGAAGGUAUUCUUCAAGAUAGGUAUGAAGAGGAAGCCAAAGCUGAUUCUGAUACAUGGAACAAACAACCUGCACUGAGAUCUCCAUCACCAUUUGAGAAGAGUGUGUCGGGGGUUUACACUCACACAGUAUUUAAGAGAUUUCAAGUUGAGGUUGUGGGUGCAGUUGCUUGUCAUCCUAAACAGGAAAGUCAAAAUGAGACAAAUAUUAUAUUCAGAGUUCAAGAUCUUGAAAAAACUCAGGACUUUGUUGUUAUGUGGAAUCAAAUGAAGGAAGAAGUUUUCUGUGUAUGCCGAUUAUUCGAAUAUAAAGGUUAUCUAUGCAGGCAUGCAUUGAUUGUACUUCAAAUUCGUGGGCUUUCUGCUAUUCCACCUCAAUAUAUUUUGAAACGAUGGACAAAAGAUGCAAAGAGCAGGCAAAUGGGAGACGAAACUGAUCAAAUGCAAACUAGGGUGCAACGGUACAAUGAUUUAUGCCAGCGGGCAAUGAAAUUGAGUGAAGAAGGAUCAUUAUCUCAAGAGAGUUACAGUAUUGCAUUUCGUGCACUAGAAGAAGCUGUUGGAAAUUGUUUGAGUGUAAAUACUUCUAAUAAGAAUCUUGUGGAAGCUGUCACAUCCCCAACUCAUGGUCUGAUCUGUGUUGAGGAAGAUAACCAAAGUAGAAGUAUGAACAAGACAAAUAAAAGAAAGAAUCUCACGAAGAAAAGAAAGGUAAUUUCUGGUCAGCAUUUGCAUGCUUAUGUUCUUGUCACUAAUCAAAUUUCUCAUAAAUGAUUUCCUUUAUGCAUUUCAGUUGAACUCGGAGCAGGAGGUUAUGACUGUAGGGGCAGGGGCGGGGUCUCAAGACAGCUUGCAACAAAUGGUUUGUGUUACAUUAUAAAUAUCCUGGUUAACGUCGUUUGGCUUUAGGGAGUCUGAAUCUCCACAAAUCAAGUUUUAAAAUUCUGAUUUUAUUUGCGGGAGGAUGUUAUUAAAAAUAGUAAUUGAUUCAUUUAAAAUUGAGAAAAAAUUUCUGUACUACAAAAAGUCUUCGAGUUAGAUUAUGAUUGUUCUCUGCAAUUGUUAUUUUAUUGUUUUAGGACAAAUUAAACUCAAGAGCAGUAACUCUAGAUGGCUACUAUGGCACUCAACCAAGUGUGCAAGGAAUGGUAUGUUGUUAUUCAGUUCAUUAAUCUUCUGGUAAUACAUGAACUAUAUUUGUCUUCAUAUUUAUGGGAUGUGUUUCUUUGUCUUUUUGCAGGUACAGCUUAAUUUAAUGGCACCAACACGUGAUAAUUACUAUGGGAAUCAACAGACGAUUCAGGGGCUGGUAUGUCAUAUGAAUAUAACAUAAUAAGUGAAAGAAGCUAGCAACUUGAUCUAGUGGAGGGUGCAGUACAUAUCAGACUAAUAUCAAUAUCUUGGGUCAAUAUGUGUAGGGACAGUUAAACUCAAUUGCACCAAGCCAUGAUGGUUACUACAGUGCACAGCAAGGCAUGCAUGGGCUGGUAUAUUAUCUCACUUGGUGCUACUGGUAAUUAUGUGUAUAUUGGGAUUUCACAUGGUUAGGUUUUACUGAAUAGAGUUUGAUUCUUGCAGGGACAAAUGGAUUUUUUCCGGACACCAACUAGUUUCACCUAUGGCAUUCGAGUGAGUUUGCCAGAUAUUGUAUUCAGACAGUUAGGUAUGAUCUGAUUAGUAUUUUCCUAAAAUGGUUCCUCCAUAUUCCCCAAAUUGCAGGAUGACCCCAAUGUGAGAACAGCACAAUUGCAUGAUGACGCAUCAAGACACGCCUGAAGAGUCCUAUUAUUGCUGUAAGGUAAGUUUAUAUCUGCAAUAACAUCUUUCCUUUGGUCUUCCAUGACUGGACUAUCAAACGAGAAUAUUGUGCUUCGUAGGCAAACAGGAAAUGAAGUUAUUUAACAUUCUGGGUAGCUGCAAAGAAAGUACUGAGUCUGAAUAGUUUGUAAAGCAUGACACGUAUUGUGCAUUGUGGAUGCGACGAGCAUCAGGCUGAAGAGAACUUCCUCUUAGUUGGUUGUAAGAUAAAGAUAAAGAGUAGGAUGUCGCCUUUUAUUUUCACCAGAAAUCGGGGGUGUUGUAGAGAAGAGAGUUGGAACAGAUUCAGGUCGGGGAUGAUUGAUUGAUCUCUUGUAAAGCUUCUUGUAUUAUUGUGUUUUGUGAUCAUCACAUGCUUCAUAAACCCUAAAUAGUCAGUCGAAAUCAGGGAAGAAAAAACCCAAUUUUCCGUUUGAUCACUAUAUAUAUUCACUAGUACUAACAGCAAAGUGAAAGAUGGAAGCAGGGGCACAUGUGCCUCUUCUUCCCCCCAUCCAAUUCUUUUUAUCUUUUGGUUCAAGGAAUUGUCCUCUUUUGCCCUAGCAGCUGGUUGACAGGAGUGGUGACGGCGAUAUUGCUUUGGAGAAGGGGCAACUUUCCAUUAAGUCCUGGGUUGUUGAACUAAUUUAUUAUCUUUUAAAUUUAAGAUGAAUUUACAGCUUCGUGAUGUAGGGUGAUGUUCUGACAUAGAUCAUUAACUUCUGAUGAAAUUCGAAAUUACUCUCGUUAGACUUAAAUUGUGGAAAAUCUUACACAUUUGCAGGUAUAGUAAAAUCUUUAUAAAUUAAUGUACAAUUCAAUGAAUAUAUAUUUUUAAUUAACUAAUAUACAUUGUAGUUUACUAAUAUAAUCAAUUGAAAAUGAAUUAAUCCAAUAAAUAUAUAUUAAAUUAACAAAAAAAUUUAAAAUCCUUGCAAUUUUAGAAAUUGACCUAGGAACUCCUAGAAGCAAUAAAUAAAAUUAGUGAUGAGCAACAAUAUAAUCAUAUUUUUUAAAUAAAAUAUUAUAAUUUAUAAUUUCAGUAAAUUAAUAAUUUAAAAUAUGAAUAAGACUACGGAGUUGUAUAAGUUUUUCUUUAAUGUAUUAUAUUAUAAGUUUUUCGAAAUUAUUAAUUUAACCCUUUGAUCGAAGUCAAAACUGUAAAAAAUUAUUAUAUAAUAAAUAUUAUAAUUUUAACGAGUAUUAAAUUAUAGUGAUUUUUCUGCAGUUAAUUCAUAAUUUGGGAGGUAAUCUAUUAUCGGUUUGUGUAAAUAGAUUCGAUUAAUUGUGCAUGUAUUAAUGAUUUUUUUAUUAAAAAAAUAAUAUUGUUGUAAUUAGAUAUUCCAACAAUAACAAUAUUUAAUUGAUUCUUAAAAAAAGAAAAAAUGAGUGAGGAUAAAAAAUUUCACUCAUUAACAAUCAAUCUUUAUUUUUAUUAGUGUAAGAUUUGAUUUUUUUUUUCCUUUCUCUCAAAAGAUUUGAAUCAGAAGGAGAAACUUCAUUAAUUGUUCUCGUUAUGAGUAAAAUUUGAGUGUUAUUAAUUGAACUCGAAAAGAAGAAGAAAGAACUUGAUAAUCGAUGGCGACGCUGAACACAUUUAUAGCUGCCUUAGAGCAUGCAAGAUUUGAAUUUAUAUAUCAAUUAAUUUGUGUUGCCUUCCUUCUUUUCUGAAGAAAGGUUAAAUUUUCUUUCUUAAACAAGGGUAUUAGUACCUUUUUUUUUUUUUUAAAAAAAAAGAAGGAACAUAAGAAAAUAAUUCUUUUAUAUAUACACACACAUAAUUAUUCGCUUUAUUAAAAUAAAAUAUCAUUAAAAUAAAAAAAAAAUGACACAUUUCUGUACAUUUAUAUAUAUAUAUAUAUAUAUAUAUAUAUAUAUAUAUAUAUAUAUAUAUAUAUAAUCACAUAUUUCAGUCGGCAAAGCUAAGCUGGAUCCAAUUUAUAUAAGGAAGUAAUUAAAUCGACAAAAAAAAUAAAAUUCCCACGCGCCACACAUGUUGGCGGCAACAAGAAAAAAAGGAUAUAGAUAAAACCAAUAACCAAAAGGGAAAAAAAAUCCAAAAAAGCUAAACGCGCCGAGCAGAAACAAAGGAAAGAGGCAAGUGAGAUAAGCGAGUGGAAUUUGGCAGAAAAAUCUUCAGAUCCUCCAAGAUCUCGCUUCGCGAGUGAACUCAAAACCCUAAUUUCCCCACUCGCCUCGUGCUCACUCGCUUCAAUUUCGUUCUAUUUAAUUGAGAUCAUCAAACGGUCAUUUCUUUCUUCGCCUGAGGUUCCCUCUCUUCUUCUUCCUCUUCUUUUUUCUCACGAAUAUUACUUUUUUGUUUUUUCAGUAUCAUUAUUAGCAGCACUGCCGUCUUUAUAACGAACCUUUUUAAUUUUCUGUUAUGUAGCUUGAGUCUUGCUGAAAGUACAUGUUUAAAAGUUUGGAUUUUAUUUUUUCCAAGUACUUUCAGCAGCCUCCGGCGUCAUAGCAGAGAGUGAAAUUAUUCGAUACUCAUUUACCAGAUAGCAGCAACAAUGACUUAAAGCUCUUUCGUGACUGCGAAGCUAUAAUUAACUUGCUCUUUAAUUGUUUAAUUUAUAUUAAUUCUUCUUGUUGCUUUUGCAUUAGUUUGAUUAAUAAAGCUUUGUGGUGUAAUUAGGGUUUGGUGGGGGGUGGGCUGUGAGUAAUGAUGAUAACGGUGAUUUAUUUUAAAAUUAGGGUUUGUGAAUAGUGGUGGCUAAUAAAGACAGCUGAUUUAACUGCUUAAGAAUGUAAUUUGAUGUUUGAAGCUGCAGCCCCAAAUCCGUGAGUUAGUUUUGGUGUAACUAGUCAGUUUAAAAUUAUGAUAGGCUGCUUGAGAUGUAUUGGUGAUUUUUUUUUUUUUUUUGAACUGUGAAAGAAAAAUUCAUUUUUCGUUGAAACAAAGAUGUAGAUAUUUUGUGAAAAUAUUAAACAUCACGGGAAGCAGUUAAUUGGUUGAGUGAUGAUAAAUAGUACAUAGAAGAAGAGCAGGGGAAAUAUUUAGUUUUUAGAUAUUGUGAUAUUUAAUUAUUAUCCUUAAUCAAAUUUUGUUUAACUGAUUUCAGGUAGCAUUGUAGAUAAUAUGCUGUGUAGAAUGGACUUCCUUGAUGGAAACUAAACUUGAACAACUUUUUGUUGAAACAUGACUAGGUUGGAGAUGUGCCAGAAUAUGCGGUAGAUGAUAUGGGUGGUCAAGACAAUCUGCAUGGUGCCGGUGGUAGCAUGAGUGAAAAUAUGAUCAAUGUUGUUGAUGCAGUAUAUAGUGGAGACGUGGUGGUUGAUUCUUCAAAAAUGGCUGUUGCAGGGUUCGAAGGAGAAUCAAAUUUUGAGCCACGUACUGGCAUUGAAUUUGAAUCACAUGAGGCAGCCUACUCAUUUUACCAAGAAUAUGCAAAGUCUAUGGGAUUUACUACUUCGAUUAAGAAUAGUAGGCGCUCAAAGAAAUCUAAAGAAUUUAUUGAUGCCAAGUUCGCAUGUUCCAGAUAUGGGGUCACGCCAGAAUCAGAUAGUGGUAGCAGUCGGCGAUCAAGUGUGAAAAAAACAGACUGCAAAGCCAGCAUGCAUGUGAAGAGAAGGGCAGAUGGGAAGUGGAUUAUUCAUGAAUUCAUAAAGGAGCAUAAUCAUGAGCUUUUACCAGCACUUGCUUAUCAUUUUCGAAUUAAUAGAAAUUUAGCUGAAAAGAAUAAUAUUGACAUUUUGCAUGUUGUUAGUGAACGAACAAGAAAGACAUAUGUUGAGAUGUCUAGACAAUCUGGUGGGUGUCAUAAUGCUGGGUUUUCAAGGGACGUGGAUAAUCAAUUUGAUAAGGGCCGACACUUGUCUUUGGAUGAAGGGGAUGCUCAAGUUUUGCUAGAGUAUUUUAAGCGUAUCAAGAAGGAAAAUCCCAGGUUUUUUUAUGCAAUAGAUUUGAAUGAAGAACAGCGCUUGAGAAAUUUGUUCUGGGUUGAUGCUAAAGGUAGGGAUGAUUAUGUCUAUUUUAAUGAUGCUGUUUCUUUUGAUAUGUUUUAUGUCAAUAUGAACGAUAAAUUGCCUUUUGCUCCGUUUGUCGGAGUGAAUCAUCACUGCCAGCCUAUUUUGCUUGGAUGUGCAUUCAUUGCUGAUGAGAGUAAAUCAACUUUUAUAUGGUUGAUGAAGACAUGGCUAAGGGCAAUGGGUGGGCAAGCUCCCAAGGUUAUAAUCUCUGAUCAAAACAAAUUCUUGAAGACUGCAAUUGAAGAAAUUUUGCCAAAUACACGCCAUUGCUUUGCUCUUUGGAAUAUAUUAGAAAAGAUUCCUGAAACUCUUGCUCAUGUAAUCAAGCAGCAUGAGAAUUUUGUUUCAAAAUUCCACAAGUGCGUUUUUAAAUCAUGGACUGAUGAACAGUUUGAUAUGAGAUGGUGGAAAAUGGUGACUCGCUUUGAGCUUCAAGAUGAUGAAUGGUUUCGAUCAUUGUAUGAAGAUCGUAAGAGGUGGGUGCCUACUUACAUGGGGGAUACUUUUUUGGCUGGAAUGUCUACAACUCAGCGCUCUGAAAGUAUGAACUCUUUCUUUGAUAAAUACAUCCAUAAGAAAAUUACCUUGAAAGAGUUUGUGAAACAAUAUGGGAAUAUUCUACAGAAUAGAUAUGAAGAGGAAGCCAUUGCAGAUUUUGAUACAUGGCACAAACAGCCAGCUUUAAAAUCUCCUUCGCCUUGGGAAAAACAAAUGUCAACAGUUUACACACAUACGAUAUUUAAGAAAUUCCAAGUUGAAGUUUUGGGUGUAGUUGGCUGCCAUCCUAAAAAAUCAAGUGAAGAUGGAACCAUUGUAACAUAUAAAGUUCAAGACUGUGAAAAGGAAGAAGACUUUAUGGUUACUUGGAAUGAAUUGAAGUCGGAGGUCUCUUGUUUCUGUCGUCUCUUUGAAUACAAAGGGUUUCUUUGUAGACAUGCAAUGAUUGUUCUCCAGAUAUGUGGUCGUUCGAGCAUCCCACCUCAUUAUAUUUUGAAAAGGUGGACCAAAGAUGCAAAAAGCAGGCUGUUGAUAUCUGAAGGUGCAGAAUGGUUGCAGACUAGGGUGCAACGUUACAAUGAUCUAUGUAAACGAGCCAUUGAAUUGAGUGAAGAAGGAUCAUUAUCUGAUGAGAAUUACAAUAUUGUUUUCCGUGCAUUAGUAGAUGGACUGAAAAAUUGUGUGAACGUGAACAAUUCUAGCAACAAUGUUUUGGAAUGUAGUAGCCAUGUGCAAGGUCUUCGAGAAGCAGAAGAAAUAAAUCAAGGAAGCCUUGCUACCAAGUCAAAUAAGAAAAAGAAUGCAAUCAGGAAGAGGAAGGUUGGUACUGGAACCAAAGUUGUUUUUAUAGGGCUAAUUUCAGAUUACCCCCUUAUGAAAUGACAAUCCGGAAAAUACUUCCAAACUAUCAUAAACCUCAACUUAUCCCUAUUUUUGUUAAGAAGACAAAAAAUUUCAUCAUUUUCCCCCCUUAUCUUUUGAACAAAAUUCGGGUAAGUUGAGGUUUACAAUAGUUUAGAGGGUAUUUUGAAGAUUGCCAUUUCACGAGGUAAUAUGAAAUUGACCCUAGUUUAUAUGCUAAUGGUCUCAUUAUGUAUCUGCAGCCACUGUGCUACAAAUUUUUUUUUUUAAAGAAAAUUUAAACAAGAAUAUUAUUGCACUGUGUUUCUCUAUAUUUCAGGUACAGUCAGAGCAGGAUAUCUUACUUGUUGAGGCACAAGAAAGCUUGCAGCAAAUGGUUCGUCCCAUCUCAGUUUUAGUUGCGAUGUAAUUUUCUUGUGUAUCUGAUACCAGUUGAAAAUGAUUUUACAGGACUGCUUACUUUUUCAGAUAUUUUGUGUCCAAUAACAUCUUCGACUGUCUUUUAACUAGUAAAUUCUGUAGGGAAAUGUCUCAGACAUAUUUUCAUAUAUUUAGUUGUCACUGUGAAACAUGCCAGGUCGUGAAUUCACCUGCAUUGUGUUUCUGAUGAUCUAAAUCUUGUAAUUUGUUUCACUGUUAAUGUGCUUUGUUGGAUCAUUAUAUCUUGUUUUGGCAUUUAUGCUUGUAGGAAAAUCUAACUUCUGAUGGGAUCGCCCUUAAUGGUUUUUAUGGUUCUCAACAGAAUGUGCAAGGACUGGUAUGACAUGUCUUACUAGUUUGACUAUUUAAAAGCUAUGUUGUGCAGUUUCCUGAAUAAAAUAUGAUCUCAAUUAUGUUAUUAUUAACUGCAUCGUAUUGCAGGUACAGUUAAAUCUAAUGGAGCCACCUCAUGAUGGUUACUAUGUUAAUCAGCAGAGCUUGCAGGGGCUGGUAAGUCGUGCUUGAGUUAUUACGAUAAGAUGUAUUAUAAAGAAUUGACGUUUUGUGACAAACUGAUUUGUCAACAUACCUGUAGGGACAGUUGAACUCAAUAGCACCCGGGCAUGAUGGGUUUUUUGGGGCUCAACAGAGCAUGCAUGGGCUGGUAUAGGUGUUUGAAGUUGACUUAAUAGACAUAAAAGGAAAUUUAGCAAUGAGAAUAUGAUCUAAAAGAUGAACUUUCCAUAAUUAUGCUUCUGUUGAUGUAGGGACAAUUGGAUUUCCGACCUCCAACUAGCUACAGCUAUGGUCUGCAGGUUGGUAUCAAAGACACGGUAUAUUUACGCGGUGAUCAUGUAUAAAUGGCGCUUCCUAAUGCUGUCUUUUUAUGUUGCUUAUUUUCAGGACGAAUCCCAUUUGAGACAAACUCAGUUACAUGGUAAUGCUCCAAGGCAUCCAUAAAGACGGAACUCCGUGAUCUAUCAAUUUAGAAGCGUGCAAAAGAAUAGUUAAAGCUUCAACUUCAGGGGCAGCCAAAAAAUGGUUAUCAAGUUGAGCGGAAUUAUUCAAUCAAGAAGUCGUUGACUAGAAUUGAAUCUAGCUGUUCCAACCCCAAUUGUCUCACUUAGUGCAUGGAGCAUUUCGCUUCUGUUCUGUCGAUCCAGUUUAACUGCACAACGGAUGCCAUGGAAAGCAAGACUCCUGUUCUCUGAGGUGUAGAUUUCUUGCUUGGAUGGGAAUUGAUCUAAGAAAUGCACUUGUCCUGUGCAAAUCAGUAAUGUUCAGUGGCAGUAGUAAUAUAUCUCUGUAAAUGUUCUUGUAUUCUUCUUAUUGUAUGUGUAUGUCCGUCGCCAUGUUGUGGAGUUGUGGUGCUACUCUUCUUAAGUAUGAAUUUUACCACGGAAUUACUCUUUUAGCUGUUGGAGAAAUGUUUAUUUGGAAAGUGUUGAUGUGUAGUCCUACUCUUUAUAUUAAAGCAAUAUACUUCUAUGUGUAGGGAUGAAUAAUGUCUUUUUUUUUUUUUUUUUGAAGAGGGGAUGAAUAAUGUCUAAAUUAAUAUUUUAAUGCUUUAAACUCGACUAUCAAUUAAAAAGAUUAUUUGAAAACAAUUUAUAAUAUAUUUCACUUAUUAAAUAGUGUUUAAUAUUCUUAUCUUAAGUGCUAAUAUAACAUUUAUCGUUAAAUAAUUUUAAUUUGUUUUUGUGCCAUUUAGUUAUAAUGAUAAAAAAUUUUAUAUAAAAAAAUAAGAGAUUGGUGUUCAAACUUCUCUUUUAUGGGUGGAAAGGAGAUUAGAUUGUCAUUAAACUAAAUGGUAUAUAUAUAAAGAUUUAAUUAAAUAUUAUAUUAUGAUAGUUUAUUUUUUCUUAUUUUUAUACCCAAAAAAAUAAAUAAAUAAUUGAAGGAAGCUGACCCCUAAUAUGUGAUUUUCUGUAAUUAGAGUGAUUAAUCAUUUAAUCAGCAGCGAGAUGGUCGAACUCGAACCGCCAAGUAUGUGAACCGGACGGACUCGGGUUUAGUGACGGUUCAAACUUCAAAACUCUCUCUCUUUCUUUCAGGCUGCCUCUCAAAUGAUUGUUGCUCGUGGCGCGGGUAUGUUUUCAUACAAAUUCUUUCUUUUUAAUUAAACUCAUUGUUUGGUUGCCACGAAUUCUAAGAAAUAAAAAAAUGGAAAUUAAAUCUAAAUUCUUUGUAUUUUAUUAUUAUUAUUAUUGUUAGGGCUUUGACACGAGUUGACAAGCUCGAAUUUGGUUUUGUAUGGGUAAAUUUAGCUCAGUUAAGUUGAAAAGUUCCAUAUUCAAUUUUCUUCAAUUUUCUGAACUGAGUUUUACUUCCUUUUGAACCCAAUUUUAGUACCAAGUUCAGUUUUUAUUAGUGUAUUUGGAGUUGCCUUUUGCUCUGGUUGAUCAACAAAGCUUCUAACUUUUUGAAAAUUGGGAAAAUGUUGAUGCAUAUUUGAUACAAUCAUAGAUAGCUGUAACUUGUGCUGGUGAUCUAUAUUUUUAUUCUUUUUAUCAAUUUUCAGGUGCCUUUGGUAGAGUGAUUUUUGAUGUAGCAUAAAAUUUUAUUUUUUUCAUGGAGAUAGAUCUUGAAUUGCCUUCAAAUGAACAGGAGAAGUUAGAUACUAUUUCAGAUACAACCGGUGAUAUCAUGGAUGGUGAGGAUAGAAUAGGUGUUGACAAUGGAGAUGGUAAUUCUCCUAGAAUAGGUGAAUACGUUGAGGAGUGUGGUCCAAGUGCAAGCGAAAGAGUUGCUGGCAGUGGGAAUCAAGUAGAUCUGAGUGUCGUUGGAGCAAAUGUCCAUAAAGGGGUCAUGUGUGAGCCUCAAAAUGGUUUGGAAUUUGAAUCAAAGGAGGCAGCCUAUUCUUUCUACAGAGAAUAUGCUCACUCUGUUGGAUUUGGCAUCACGAUAAAAGCCAGCCGCCGUUCGAAAAAGUCUGGAAAAUUUAUUGAUGUAAAAAUUGCAUGUUCUAGAUUUGGUAGCAAACGAGAAUCUAGUACUACUACUAAUGCUCGGUCAUCUUUUCCAAAAACAGGCUGCAAUGCAGGCAUGCAUAUGAAAAGGAGACCAGAUGAAAAGUGGGUUAUAUACAGUUUUGUAAAGGAGCAUAAUCAUGAGAUUUGCCCGGAUGAUUUUUAUCAAGCUAUCAGAGGAAGGAACAAACAGUCUGGUAUAGUUCCAUGUCAAAAAAAGGGAUUGCAGUUGAUGCUUGAUGGCGAAGAUGUGCAAAUGAUGCUCAAUCAUUUUAUAGGCAUGCAGGAUGAGAAUCCUAAUUUCUUUUAUGCAGUAGAUUUGGACCAUGAAAAACGUUUGAAAAGUGUUUUCUGGGUUGAUGCAAAAGGUAGACAUGAUUAUAGGAACUUCAGCGAUGUAGUUUUCUUUGAUACAUUUUACAUCAGAAACAAGUGUAAAAUUCCUUUUGUUCCUAUUACUGGAGUAAAUCAUCACUUCCAGUUCAUUUUGCUGGGAUGUGCAUUAAUUGGGGAUGAAUCUACUUCAACUUUUGUUUGGUUAAUGCGGACAUGGUUCAAAGCAAUGGGUGGCCCAACUCCUAGAGUGAUUAUCACUGAUCAAGACAAAUUCUUAACAGAAGCUGCUGUAGAUGUAUUUCCUAGUACUGGCCAUUGUUUUUGUUUAUGGCACGUCUUGAGUAAGAUUCCUGAAAAAUUGGGUUGUGUUAUUGAUUGCAAUGAAAAGUUUAUGGCAAAAUUUAAUAAGUGCAUUUAUCGCUCCUGGACGGAUGAGCAGUUUGAAACCAGAUGGUUGAAGAUUGUUGAUAAAUUUGAACUUGGGGAAGAUGAAUGGGUUCACUCCUUGUACAAAGAUCGUGAAAAGUGGGUCCCAACAUACUUGCAGAAUACAUUUUUGGCUGGAAUGUCUACAAGCGAGCGAUCUGGAAGUGUCACCUCUUUCUUUGACAAGUACAUGAACCGGGAAGCUACAUUCAAAGAGUUUUUUGAGCAGUACAAAGCAUAUUUGCAAGAUAGAUAUGAAAUGGAAGCUGAAGCUGAUUCUGAAACACGAAACAAAAAACAUGGUUUAAUGUCUCUCUCAACUUUUGAGAAACAAAUGUCAACAAUUUAUACAGAUACAAUAUUCAAGAAGUUUCAGGUAGAAGUUUUAGGAGUAGUUUCUUGUCAUAUGCGAAAAGAAAGAGAAGAUGGAUCAACUCUGAUCUUUCGAGUUGAUGAUUUUGAAGAACGGCAGAAUUUCUAUGUAGCCUGGAACGAAGCAGAGUUGAAUAUAUGUUGUUUAUGUCAUUCAUUUGAAUACAGAGGUUUUCUUUGUAAACAUGCGAUUCUUGUACUUCAAAUGUCUGGUUUUUCUGAGAUCCCAUCCCGUUAUAUAUUGAAGCGCUGGACAAAUGAUGCAAAGAUGAUUGGAGCUGUUAGUGAAAUAUCAAGCGGGUUUCAUUUCCGAAUGCAACGUUUUAAUGAUCUUUGUAAACGGGCUAUCAGAUUGGGGGAAGAAGGGUCAUUAUCUCAAGAAGCAUAUGAUAUUGCAUUGCAGGCUCUAGGAGAAGCACUGAAACAUUGUGUGGACAUGAACAAUUCAGUUAGGGGUGUUUUAGAGGCCAACACAUCAUCUGCUCGUGGUUUUCUUGGCAAUGAAAAGGAGAAUCGUGGCAACAGCAUGGCCAAGGCAUCAAAGAGAAAGAAAAUGCAUAAGAAAAAAAAGGUCAGUCGAGACUUCACAAUUGACAUGCUGAGACUGUUACCGGCUCUAAGCUGUAUUAAAUAACUUAGCCUUUCAUUUAUACAUUUUAGGUUCGGCCAGAGCCAGAGAGGAUUAGUAUAGGAUUGCAAGACAGCUGCCAGCAGAUGGUUUGUUACAUUUUAAAACUUUAUUUCUCAACAUUUAGUUUGCAAACAUAGAUGCAAUAAGUUCAUUGUGAUACUUAUAGAAGAAUCCUUGUGCUUUCACUUAUGCAGGAUCAGAUGAAUUCAAGAGCUCACACCGUUAAUAAUUGUUAUCUACCUCGACGGGACAUGCAACAAAUGGUAUGAAGACGGUAUGCUGCAAGAAGGAAGUUGUUCGCUAAUUCUUGCCCACUGUGAAGUUUUAAUUCUGGUGUUUCUCAUUUGGGCUUCUUGUAGGACUCCGGCUCUAGAGCACCAACACUUGAUGGCCAUUAUCAUUCUCAAAAUAAUAUGCAAGUUGUGGUAUAGAGUCUUCUGGUUUCAACUACAAUGUAUACAAGUCAAGAAAUUCAGUCUUGUAUCUUCUAGACGUGGAUGACUAAGCCUCAUUUUAAACUUAUUGUAGGGACAAGUGAACUCAAUUUCUCCAAUUUGUGAUGCUUCUUAUUAUGGCAAUCAACAGUGCAUGCAGGGCCAGGUAUGGUUGUUGCUUUCAUUCUGACCUUAUGAUAUCAUAUAUAGAAGCAGACCAAUUCUUCCACUUUUGACUAUUUAGGUUCAAUAAUUUUCAGGGACAAUUACAUUCCAUUUCAGCACGUGUUAGUCACUAUGGGACUCAACAAAGCAUGCAUGGAUUGGUACACAUUUCACAUAUUGUUGUUUAAUGAGCAAUUUGGUUUUUCAGUUAAAAAUGAUUUAAGUAUAGCCAUCUCAAGUAUUGAUACAUAGGUAGUUACAGGGACAACUCGGUUUCAGAGCAUCAGCCAUGCAUGGAUGCUUUGACAUUCAGGAUUCUUUGCAAGACAUGGUGUGCAUAUUGAUAGUUUGUUUAAAUCUCAAAAUUUUGAAUUCAUUUUUGUUUUCCAAAAAUGGAAUUUGUACACAGUUGAGUUUUUCUUCUUCUUGAUGUAGGAUGAAAAUUCUGCAGGCUCUACCCAGUUUCAUGGUAUCUCUUCAAAGCGUUUGCAAGAUAAGAACAUCUCUCGUUAGUGGAAAGGUUGAAUGUAUAUUUACUUUUUAUGAGUUGAUAGAACAUUAGUCAAUUAACCCUAUAGCUCAUGUAAAUUUUCACCGCCUCUUUGAAGAUUCUUUUCAAAUCAAAACAACUCUAUGUACAUUAUUCACUUCAACUCUUUUUGGUGAACAAGUAUAAAAUAAAUACUUUAAUGAGAAUGUUUUUCAUAGACUUGGAGAACAUUCGACAUUGCUCAUGUUGCAGCAGGCAAUAUUGUCAGUCACUUGAUGUUUCAUUAUUAAUGCAGCAUUUUAACGUUUCAUUUCUACUGUAGCACUUUAACUUCAUCAAAUGUUAUCUGGUUGUCGCAAAUGCAAAUAUGCUUCUUAAAAGAAGGCAUCUCUCACCACAUGUUUAUGAGUAGUGAACUUCAAUAACUCAAAAGCUCUUGGUUCUUAAACAAUAUUUUGCCAUUUUACUUUCCCAUAUUUGAAAAUUCAAUUCUCAAAGAUUCUUUAACAAUGAAAACCGCGAAAAAUUAUUGUUGAAAACUAUUACAGGUUCUCCUUACUGCAAUUGUUUGUUAAUUGCAGUUGAGAACAAAUAAUAAACUGUACAGUCAGUGGACAGCCGAUCUCUCCCUCAAUUUGCACCAUAAACCAUUUUUUGUAUGGAUUGUUGCUCCAGUAACAAGUUCCACAGAUUCUGGAGAUCCUUUCAGCUCAAUAUCAAACUUCUGUAACAACAUAGCUAAACCUACAGUUGACUCCAUGACCGCAAAUUGGUCUCCGACACAUUUUCUUGGUCCCCCACCAAAUCCCAAGAAAGCAUAAUCUGAUACAAUCUGGGAAUUGCAAUCAUAAUCACAAUGGGAAAGAGUGAGUAAAACAUUUUGAAUGCUAAACAUAUAGAGAUUGUUAGAUGGAUUACCUCAUUUGGGUAUAAUGCUCCAGGACUUCGAGAUGGAUCGAAACCACUCCAUCCUUCAAUGCCUACAUCCUUCCGAGGUUUUAAGAACCUUUCGGGUUCAAAUUCAUGGGGCCGGUCCCAGAAGUAUGGUGAUCUAUGAAGAUUAUAUAUCUAAGCAAUGAUUUUUAUGGAAAGAGAUCAGUUAAUCGAUGCAAAGAAGAAGCUAGAGCAAAGAGCUUAGAACAAAAAUGUCGUAAUCGAACAUAAUCUCAUGACAAAUAGAGCUAAAUUUCAGGCUCAAAUCUGAUCCUUUGAUAAGCAUACCAUAUCGGCAAACAAUGUGAACAAAAUAAAUAAAUGAGGCAAAUAUAACUGCUGCUUACAGAGAGGAAGAUAUCGGUCCCAGCAGGAACUGGGUAACCAUCUUUGUCACCCCUGUAUCCUCCUGCAGAACCAAAGGCUAGUGCUUAACCCAGAUAUCCCAAGAAAAUACUGAACAUAUUAUCUGCCUAAGGAUUGAGUGAGGCAUGAGAAUACCUGGUAAUACAUCUGGUUUGAUGGUGCGUCUAAUGAGCAAUGGGGGUUGAGGAUAUAGACGAAGAGACUCUGCAACAAUAAGCCUUAUGUACCUAAAAACAUAGGACAUAUGGUAUAUAUCAAACCCCUUACCAGACGAUUUAGCAUUUUCAGAAAAUCUACAUCAUCUGAAAAGAGUUGGGACAAGUUAUUUAAUAUACAAUAGAUGAGUCAGAAUUACAAUAGAAGCCUGUUCAGAAACAGUGGAUGAAAUUUUUUUUUAAGUUUUAAAAAUCCAAUACAUAAUUAUGAUGAAAAAUGACCUUAAGAAAUAAAAGUUGUAGUUCAUCACACCUUGAAAUAUCAGGGUGGAAAGAUUUCCAUUACCAAUGACUGGUUGGAGAGAAACAAAUUAAAACCUCAUUCAAUCUUUAACACAGCCCAUGUCUCAUAAGAAUCUCAUAAUCCUCUGGUUUUCCCAGAACUAAGACAUGAAUGAUUCAUUUACGAUUAAGGAAUGUUGUUAUUAAUUUGCAAUCAAUGCAUAUCUUAAUUUUGCUUCAUAACUAUGCACAUAAAUGCACACAACUAUAGAAAAAUAAGACAAAUUCAUGUCACAGCUAACAAUGAAUAGAAUAAGUUUAUGAGAAAGGAUGACUUCAACACCUACUCCAGUUUUUUAAGUGAUUCAAAAGUUGGUUUCUUCUGUCCCAGCACUGAAUCAACCUCAGCUUGAGCUUUCUUGACUUUUGAGGGAUUCUGCAGCAGAGGAAAUUAAUGCAUCAGCAUGGUCAGAAGUUCUAUAUCUCUUCCUUUUACUAUCAAAUGUGAGCAUUUAGCUCACAAGGUUAGAAUCUCCUUGAUGAAACACAUUAAAGAAGACGGCAUCCAAUUGGAGAAAAAAAAAAAGAAAAGGAAAAAGGAAGAGAAAGAAAGAAAAGAAAGGUUGUAUCCUAAAGGUAGUAGUGAAGAAUCAUACUUGAGCCAGAAGAAAAACAGCCCAAGUAAGAACAGCAGCCGUCGUUUCAUGGCCAGCAAUAAGCAUUGUCAUCAGGUCAUCCCUUAGCUGUUAAAAGAGUAAAACAAAAAAAAUCUGUGAAUAAAACAUGAGUUUGAUCUAUAAUUAUUCUCAAUAUAAGUUUAGACAUGCCCGAAGAGAUGCAUGGGUUAAAGCAUGUUCAUUUUCUAACGUUUAUUUACUCUCAUAUGCAGGGAAUGGCUGAGAUAAAGAAGAAGUCCUUAUAAUUCAGAAUAAUGGGUAGAACAACCACUUGUGUUUUGUCUGAGAAAGUGAUUUUUUAGCCAGCAACUUUAUCUCUGGAAACACUGAAUUGGGUAACCUAAAGACAUCUACCUGACGGUCAUCAACGUCGGCUCCUCGCAUAUCAACUAAAAAACGCAGGAGACUUGCAUCCUGCAAACUUUAUGGUUAUAAUGCCAGAAUUUCCACAAAUAUAUAUAAACAAAUAGAUAAUUUUGCAAUAAGAAGUUAACAAGCUAAUUUUUGUGAGGAAGAUACUGACACACCUUGAGAUUUGAGUAGUCCCUGCUCUGCAGUUUCUCAACAUCGGUUUCCUGUCAUGUAAUGCAAUCAAAUCAAAGGUCUAGGCAUUGGUUCCAAUUAUAGUAUUUGGUUUCCUUAUCCACAUGCUACGAGAAAGGAAGCUAUCUCACAUUGACAAAAGAGCCAGGUAAGGCAAUGGAAAGCUAAAGCAGAAACAGAAUAAUGCAAAAACAAUUCAAGGUCCACAUGAAGCUUCAGGGUACAAUAAUGUGGCUGCUACCGUCUUAGUUUCAAGUUUCAUUUACUUAAAUAGAAAUGAUAUAUGGUUCAAGAGUAAAGAAAAAUAAAGAAAGAAUCCAAUUUUCUUUCCUUUCACAUGAUCUUUAAAGCUUCUUACCUGUCUAGUCUCUUUUGCAUUUCUGAUGAGUCCAUCAAGACAGUCAUUGAUAAUUUUAAGGUCAUUCUGGAAUUUCCUUUGCCUGGGAACUAUCCACCUUGCCAGAGGAAUUUUCCAAUAAGGGAUAUAGAACGUUGAUCUAUGCUCAGCCUCAAAAAGAGUACCAUACACCGCCUAUAAUACAUUUACAGAGAGUGCUAAUCAGGGAUUAUUUGCAUCUAAUGUGGCUCAAGGAAAAAGAGGAAUGUAAAGUUGAGGGCAGGAAAUUAAGAUUAGGAGGAAAACGUUGAAAUACAGUGGAAAAGUAAUAAAACAUCAGAGCGGAAUUUUAAUAAUGUAUUUCUUUUCCUUUCAAACCUUUAUGACAGGAGACUCUUUUGUAACAGAACCAAAGUCAUAGUUGAAAACACCAAGCCCAAUAAUAUCGAGAGCCAAACUUGAAAACUCUGCUUCAAGAUCCAACUCAGUUGAAUUCCCUCCACGUGAGUCCUCUCCUAGAAGUUUCUCAAAUUUCAUUAUUGUUCUUUCUGAACAAUCCGCAAACAUGUUCACCAUAGCUUCCAAGUAUAAGGCAUGGAACCCAGGAGCAAUAACUGCAUAUAGUGAUGAAACAAAGUAAAAGCAGUAGUUAUAACAACUAAUAACUAAAUGUGUGUGUAUAGGGAUAUACAUUUUCUUUUGUGGAACAAAAAUAUACAUAGUUCUGUAUUCCUCACCUCGUCUCCGUUGCUUCCAAGUGUCAAGGUCAGCAGGUAUAAGUCCUUUUCCCAUUAUUGGUUCUAGAAUUUCAGCAAGAACUCCCUAAUUAAAAUAUGGCAAUUUGUGUAAAAUGAAUAAAUUAAUAUGCAGAACUAGAUUAAGCAAUAAAAUAUGAAGUCAAAUUAAGCAAGCUAAUCCUAGAAAGGUUAAAAAAUGCUAGCAAACUUACAUUCUAAAAUAAUACCAAAACUUGCUAAGCCAACAAGUUCUAAGGUAAUACCUUGUCAUAUGAAAAUGCAUUUUCUCGAAGAAUAUGCCUCGCAAUGAUGGGAUCUGAUACGACAACAAAUGCUUUCGGCCCGAAAGCAAGUUUAUAUACUGAGCCAUGCUGCAAAAUUAACAGACAUCAAUACAAAGAACAAAUACAGGUCUCUAGGCAAUCAUCAAUGAAGUAAAACCAAAAAGAAGCAUUUGGUUGAGACAACAUUAUGCAACAAUUUGGCUGCAGUUGCUACAAAUUAAUGGCAAACUAUUCUAGCAAAUACUCAAUUGAACUGCCACUACACCCCAUGACACCAUCUCUACCCUGAUGAAACCUUAUGUACCUAGGUACCUUCAACGCAGCCCUGAGUCAAUCAACCAACAGUUGUUACAGCAAACACAAGCAUUACCAAUGACACAUUGAAAAUACAAAAACUUUUAAGUUUACAUGCCGAUUAAAGCAUCAACGGAAUUAGUGUUAAAUUAACCUCUAUAAACCAGUCAUAGAGGGAGAAGAAGAGGGGGCGGCCAAACAAAUCAGAGACGGCUCCUUCAGCUACAGGCAUUGAACCAAGACUUCCGCCACUUAACAAAUUCGUAAGAAGGUUACUUGCAUUGUCCAAAAGAUUCCUUCUUGUUUUCGGUUCAUUAGUGCCAGUGGACUGGCAUCUACACGAGAACAGUUGAUACUACUUCAGUACAAACACAAUGAUUUCAAUGAAUUUUCACUACAACAAAAAGAAAAUAAGAAAAAUGAUAUAUUUUCUUCAAAUUGGCUAAAACCUAUGGUUAGUUGGCAGAAAAAAUUAAAAUCAGUAAAUAACCGAACUUGAAGUUCAACAAGACUCAGGUUUGCUUAACAAGUUUUACAAUCAACACAUGUUCAAGUUUCAUAAAUAUAGAGAAGCUAGUAAGCAAAGCAUCAGAACUAAAAAAGAAAAAGAGAGGUGUUUGGUCUCCAAGAAAAUUGCCAGAAAGAAAAUAAAAUGGCAAAGAAACUACAAGCCAGAAAUUGCAAAAUACUUGAGACUGAACUGCUUACAGAAGGCAAAAACUAUUCACAAAAACACAAUAACCAAUAACUAAUCCCCGUCAAACAUGAAGCCUAUAAGCGGAAACUGAGUGAGAAUUGAAGUACCUGACAGACGGAGACUCUUUUGGCUUAGAAUUGACAAGAUGAGUCCUUGAGUUACUACCCACAAACCCAAAUUCUCUAGCAUGAAAACUGCCAUAACCAACUGCUGAAGAGAGAUGAUGAUGAAAGAUACAAGUUGUUGUAGUAGCCAUUGCAAGCCAAAAUGCAAUAAGGCCAGCGAGCCACACCACAGCCAAAUGAUAGAUAUAAUAUGAUAUAUUAAGAUUCGAAAAAAAAAAAAAAAAACGUAUGUCUCAUGUAAAUUAUAUGAUAUGAAUUAUCACUUGCUACGUGCCCACUGCCUAACCCACCUCUGUAAAUUUUGGAGUAAAAUGGCGAAGCACUUGAAUGACAAAAGUGCUUUCCACUUCACCGUCCUAUCUUUUUUUUUUUUUUUUUUUUUUUCAACCACCCACUUCCAUGUUCCUGUAUUUUGGAUUUUGUCAGCCACGCACGUUUGGUCAUUGUUGCAAACAUAGAUUUUUCAAUGUUAGAAUUUUAGAAAUAUUUAAAUGUCCCUCUAUCUUGUUGAAGUAAAAUAAAACUAACGUAUUUAAUUAUUUUAAAGUUUUAUGAUAUUUUUUUAUAUAUAAAAGAUUAAAAUAAUUAAUUUAAAAUUUUCUAUAUCAAAAGACAUUGAUUAUUUAUUUUUUAAGUUCGAUGAAAUUUCAUCAAUUCUCCAAAAUCCUUGAAACACUAAAAAGAUUACUGAAGUAAUUUUCAAAAUAUAAAUCAUGUAUAAAAUCAACAGCACCGGGCCACGCCCAUAAUUUGAAUACAAGCUGCGAUUAAUCCAGCCCAAUCCGGAAAUGGGCCUCCUGUAAAGCCCAUUAACAAACGGUAUUGUACCUUGUAUACAGAACGCAGCUUACACGUGUAGCACAGGCGCAGCAAGUAAAAGACAAAGAAAGAAGACAGGCAAUCUAAAGGUUUGCCGCAAAUUGAGCAAGAACAAGAAGAGUCGGCCCUCGAAAGUCGAAACCAAACAGAACAUGAAAACAUUUACCAGUCAAAAGCACGUGGGCGUCACGCCGUUAAAUUCAAUGCGACACUCAGUUGUUUUGUAUUUCGAUAGCUUUCGGUUUGUCGAGAACUGCGUCGAGAAUUCGCCGCAGUAUUUAAUUUCUCAACGAUUUCUCUAAGCCAUGCCACUACUUACCAGUUACCCCAUCGCCAUAAUGAUGACUUAUUUAAUCAAAUCGUGCAUGAAAUAUGUUCACAUCUUGACUCAAUUUUUUUUUCCCGAAAAGAUAAACUGAUGAAAAAUGUUCUCAUUUUUAUUGAACUAUUUUUUUUUUUCAAAUCUUGAUCGAGAAAUGACAAUGUUAAUAAAUAAUUUUUAAUAUGAAAAAAUAGAUACAUUUUGGAGAUUAUUUUAAAUAAAAAUAAUUCAGUCUAAAAUACUCACAGGUUGUAGUUUUUUAUUACCUUGGCACAAAUUUUAUUAACAUAACUCAUAUUUUUAUACUUUUGUUCGAAUAAUUAUUUUAUCACAUCAAUUUAUACAAAAUUUGUUUGUAUAAAUAUUCGUGCCUUAAUAAUUAUUUUUAUUAUAUAUUUUUUUAUUUAUUUAUUUCAUUCUUCUAAAUUAAAACGUAUGUCAUUAAAAUUGGAUCAUUAACAUCUCGCUUUCAAUGCAAUAGACCAAAUCAAUUGGAUUAGCCACUGCAGAUAGUUUUAAAUAUUAGAUUUUUUUUUCUUUUGCAUCCUACAAACUCUUAAUCCACCAAGAUCCAAGGAUGUAAAAUAAAAUUUUAAUUGUCAAAUACAAGUAAACGAGUAGUGAAAAAAAAUGUGGGUGAUAGCUAGUUGAGAACGCAAAAUCUCUUGUGUUGAAAAUAAGAAAUCUAACAUUUAAAAUUUGUUCGCUUAGGUGAGGAGGAGAUUAGAUUAUAGUUAGACUAAAUAAUAAUUAAAAAAAAAGUAGUGAGAGAAUGUUACUUGUCAAAUAAAAAUAGUUGUUUAUAAAUAAUAAUGCUACACUUGAGAAGCACUUGGACGGCAAAAUCACUUGUUCACUUAUGUUUAGUUCAAUCCACUAAAAAUAAAAAUUGAGGAUAGUUGUCUCUGUUAAUGAGAGAAGAUCUCUUGUCUUUAUUAACGAAUAUUUUUUAUUUAGGUUCGAUAGAUCCUAUUAUUACAACGUUGCUAUUAUUGUAUGAAUUUAGACUCUUAGUAGGUCUCUUUAUUAUACGUGGUUAUUCCUACAUGAAUCUAGACUCCUAUUAAAUCCCUUAUUGUAAUAUAAAUCGAUGUUUAGUAUACCCUAUUCACUUAUGCUAUAUUUUGUAAUAUGCGUUUACCCAAUUUUGAAAGCGCAACCGUUUUAAAUCCAUAAUUCGAUAAACCUUAGCAUACUUUUCUUCUAUUCCUUCUCUCAAUCUUUUUCUUCUCAUGAAGGUACAUCAACUAUUAUUUUAAUGAAAAAAAAAAAACUCAAAGAAAAUUGGUAGCUAAAAUCAUCACAAUCUUGAAAUACUUUGUGUGGGCAAAUCCCAAGAGCUAAAUGGUUCUUUAAUAUUAAUUGGAAUUUGGAAAACACAAGGUGGUUUCCUCUAACUGGUUCCCCACGUUCCUUGAAGACUCCAAGUCAUACAAGUCACCUACCACCAACGAGAAGUCGUAUGCCGACGUGGCCACAUGGGUCGAUGACGUCGUCAUCGCAUUUUAUUGAAGCUUCUGGGGAACCAGGCAUGCAUUAAUUUAAAACAUCAUAAAAUAAAAAUAGAAGUACGGAAAAUAUUGUAACUCUUAGUUCAGAAUCUAAAUCUAAAUCUAACAAUUCAAGUUAUAUACAAGUCUCAUGAAACUAAAUUUAAUUUAGGGUACAGUUUGGAAUUGAGGUUGGAUAACUGUAGUUUUUAAGAUACAGCACUAAAGUAUUUGGUAAAUACUAACUACUGUAUUUUUGAAAAUUAUGUUAACAUAAUUUUUUAUUUGUAUAAUAAAAAAUCUAUUAUGUUUUUAAUAAUUUUUUUAAAAUUAUUAUUUAAAAUUUAUAUUUACUACAUAUUAUUAAUUUUUAUUUUAUAGUUAGAUUUUUUCCACAAUAACUGUAACUUAAAAGUUACAACACCUCAACUUCAAACAUGACUUUAAUUCUAAUUGUUCAAAUUUCAAAUAGAUGCAUUGGGUUUUAAAUAUUUUUAGACUUGUUCAUGAAUGAAAAUUAUAUAGGUGUGGAUGUUUGUUUUUUUUUAAAUUAAAAUUUGUACCGUCCGCUCUUGAUAUCAAGAAUUAUUGUAUGAAUGAGAAUUAUUGAUUUCAAUGUGCUAAUUAUGUAAUUAUUUUAAAUAUAAAAUUUAAAAAAAUAAUUAUUUGAUUCAGAAUUUAACAAAAAACUUCUGACGUAUGAAGAAAUAAUGACUCUUUGUAUCGAUUAUAUUAUUUAUUAUUAAUUCAAAUUUUAACAAAUGAAUGUACAUCUAAAAGAGAUAAAACUCUUUCCAUAAAUUAUUAUAAAUAUAUUAUGUAUCAACAUAUAAUAAUACAUACUAAUUUUAUGUGAUUGGAUGAUCGUAUGAUAACGUGUUCUAGAACCAGAAGGCCUAAAUAUUUUCCACAACAAUCGCACGUGGGCACCACGUGAGGUACCUUGCAGUGAACUUUCUUUUUCUUCUCUCCUAAAAUCAACGGUCAUGAUUUAUUCAUUAGUCUACCUUUGACCACUUUGAAGCCACCACCAUAAAUAGCACAAGAAUCCUACUCUCAUUCCCCUUCCUGAUAACCAAAUAAACAAAAAACUCCAAUAUAUUCACUCAGGGCCAUGAGCGAAACCAUGUCUAGUCCUACUGACUGGGCCAAAUUCUACCAGCAAAAUCUCUCGGGUGCCGACGCGGACGCCGAUGCUGCCGCUGCCGCUGCCGCUUCCACGGGCAUGAUGCUGACAUCAAACAAUCUCUCAAGCCCACAUGGCUCAGCUCCUAGCUCAAGCUCAAACUUAAGCCCUACUGACGGUAGAGUCUCAAAGCCACCCCAUGCACGUAGACGCUCUAGGGCUUCGCGUAGAACCCCAACAACGUUACUCAACACCGACACCACCAACUUCCGAGCCAUGGUUCAGCAGUUCACGGGCGGUCCCAACUCCCCUUUUGCUUCAACCCCAUCUGCACAUCAGAGCUUCGGUUUCGGCCUCGGUGCUGUAGGGAACCGUCAAGCUUCUCAUCUUCAAAACCCUAACCAAAACCCUAGUUCAACAGUCAUGCUUCCAUCACCGGGUUAUCGUUUACAGUAUCAGCCUCAGUACCAGAGUCAGGGGUACAUGAUCUCAAUGGGCAGCGUGAAUAAUAAUCCUGGAGCUGCUGGAGAAGGGUUCUUCCAGAGACUUGGAGGGAAUCCUCGGCCGCCGCAGCCGCCGCAGAACACGGGAGUUUCUGAUGGGUUCUUAAUAGAGAUGAAUAAUGCUUCUUCUUCUUCAUCAAGGGUCCCUUCAAGUUCCAAUGAGAAUAGGGGAAAUGGAUUCAUAUUUUGAAAGAGACGUAAAGCAGAUAGAAACUUAAAAAGAAGAAGAAAAAAAAAAGUUAGGUACUGACUUUUAUUUAGGGAGAAACAUUUGACUCUAAUGUAAAUAUUUCUCUUUCUUUUUUUUUUUUUUUUUUUUGGGAUGUUUGUUUUUGUUUUCACACUUAAGUAAUUUUAACAGUAACGGUAGCUCCUUUGUUGGGCUCUAAUAGUCUAAUUAAUUUGGGGGUGGGGAUUAAGUGUUUCCUAUUUUUUUAAUUAAUUUAAGGUUUCUUUCUUCUUUUGUUUGUUUGUUUAGAUGUUUUGUUGUUUCUUUUGUAAAAUUCCAUGGCUUAACUUUAGCCUAAAGCCUAUUGUCCAAUACGAGAGCGACAAUUAGCAAGUAUUUACUUGGCUCUCAUAUUUUGUAAGCUACUUCUUCAAUAAAAUUUUAUCGCUGAAAAUUUUAGACUUCAUUCGAUUUAAUAAUUUUAUUGAUUUGGUGUAAGAGUACAUGUAAAUGGUAUACAACUCGCAUAUCAUAAUCUAGGGGUUAGGCUCCAUUUGGUAUAAUUUUUUAAAUAAAACUUAUUGAUGUAGAGUUUUUAUUAAUAAAAUUUUUAUAAGUAGAAAUUUUAUCAACAAAUUUUAGUUGUUUGCUUGUUAAUAAAAAUUUUAAUUAAAAGUUAUAAAUAUAUUUUAACGGACAAAAUUUUAAAACUAUGUAUAAAAAAAUGAAAUAUGAAUGUAAAAUAAAAUGUUGGGCAUUUUAGACAUUAAAUCUAAAAAGCUCUCCAACCUCUAUUUUUAAAA